rnacentral:lncRNA from 1 species
UUUUUUUUUUUUUUUUUUUUUUAUUGAAUCGGAAUGUUCAACUUAGAUUCCUCCUUCCUUAUCAUUUGAUACAGUCCUUUCUUAUUUAUUCUUUUUUUUCUUAUUAUAUGUAUAAUAUUUGUGUUUAGGACACGAUCAAUUAUUUUACGAGUAAAUUUUAUUUUUAUUUCCAUUAAAUGUUUAAUUGUGUGCAGCAUUCAUAUGAACAAGAUUAGAAGUGAAUUGUUUAAUUACAUAAAAAAAAUAUUAAUAUGUGAAGACUAUUACCAGGUGAAACUGUUUAAAUAAGGAGGAGUUCUUGAAUCGAGAUGUCCGUCUUGAAUCAAGAUGUUCUUAAAUAAGGAGGGGAUGCCUGUCUUUAUCAUCUAACACAGUUCUUUCUUAUUUGUUUAUUUUUUUUUCUUAUGGUACGUAUAAUUUUUGUUUUUAGGUAUAAAAACUUUUUAUUCAUCUAUUUUAUAGUUAGUUUACUUUAUGCCCGUUUCGAAGCCAGCUACUCAUUCAAGGCUGUGCCUUUUUUUUUUUUUUCAAAAAUUAUAUUCAAGCAACAUAAAAUAAGGAAAAUGCUGUCUGCAACAAUUUCUUUAGAUCAACAAGGGCCAUGUGACAUGCAUGGCCACCUUAGGAUGUUCAGCAUUUUUUUUUUUUUUUCAUUAUUAUAAACACUAGCUUAUCUACUCAUGUGAAGCCAAACCUGUAUGAAGUGGAACACCAAGUUCUGACAAUCGUAAUUUGUAAUAUAAUAUGGAUCUUGAGCAUUCGCAUGUUGUAAUGUGAAACAAUAUACGCCAUCUUUAAAUUAAUUUCGUACAGCUGUUCAGCAAGUACGAAUUGUCUAAUUAAAAAUAUUAAACAUGAUAAUAAUGGAAAGGGUAAACGGCACGCAAGUCACCAAAUUAUUGUGAAUUUCACGUUUUACUCACUAAACUUUUUGAUGUAGUCAAAAAAGAUCAUUCAACUACUAAAAUAUUCACAUUUUUUAUCGCGCACAACUCAUAAAAACACCUAUUUUUGUACUACCAGAAGAAUUUUUGGUGGCUUUGCCAGUCGCAUUGGACAAAUCGUUGAUUAAAGUCCCUUUAUGAAGGCACAAACCGGAAGAGGGGUAGGAACGGUUGCAUGCUAGUUCACAGCUAAGAUUUAAUCAAAAAAUUGUACGAUUCAAACUUCAUCUUGCCUCUCAUUUUUAACAAUAUAUGUGGGAUCCAUAAAAUUUUGUUCUGACAUUAUUGAAAGUAAGUUACACCAUAUGCAAAUAGAGUUACGUCGUGUGUAAAAUGCACAUAAUCUUCAGGAACGAUUGCUCCUGCAACUGUUCCCGCCCCAGAUCGAAACAAACCCACCCGAAUGGACCUCCUUAUCUUCUUUUUGCUGUAGGACAACGGCAAUAAUAAGACGUUGCAGGUCUUCAAUUCACCAUCAUGUGUAAUCGACAAGUAAUGAUUAAUAAAAGACAAGUGAGAAAGACGACCACCAUGUCCUAAUGAGGUUGAAGGAGUCUUCUGUGUCGCCAAAAAAAAAAAAAGAGUCUUCUCAACUCAACAUUAUGAUCAGCAACAUUACUGGACUACAUCAACGUGUCACCUUCGCUCAAAGCCAUUGUGGAGAAUAAAAGUGACAGCCCCCCUAGCCCACCGAGAACAUUUAUGGGAUGCAUCAAAGGAUACGGGUUCGAACGGCUUUCAGAGAAAUCGUUCGAAUUGUAUAAAAUAUAUAGGAUAUAAUUUUAAAUGCACACGAUAUAAUUUAUUUUUAAUAAAUUAUUGAAAUUAUAGAAAAAAAUUUUAUGAACCCCACGUAUAAUAUAAAAAAUGAUAUACAAGAUAUAAUAUGGAUCUUACAUUUUUAUUUUUUUUUGUCAAAUAUUGGUCAUGAACCUUCAAGCGUUCCUAUCCUGCACCAAAGAUCAUCCUAUGAUAUCUUCUAGUUUUGUACUACCAGAAUUGCUUUUAUGCGAGUGUGUGUGUGUGUGUGUUUUGCAAAUACCCCUUCCACUGCGGGGCCAACAAGCACUACAAAUGUUUGCAUCCAAGCAUCAAUUCAGCUACACCACUCCAGUGGAAAGUUUUGUCAUCUUUACACACAUUCUUGAGAUACGUUUGAUAGACUGCAAGGUAGAUUAGUGGGAAGUAUAUUAAACAACAUUUAAAAAAAAAAAAAUCAAUUGUCAAAUGUUUGACGACACUUUCCCAAAUGUUAGUGUUUUGGGACGAAAUUGACGUCAAAUAAGAGAUAUUGACAGAACAGAUCGCAAAAAGUAGAAAUUUCUUUUGUGACACACAAAUGGUUGCCAUACUCGCACCUAUUAUUGACGGCGUUGUCCAUCAUAAAGCUACCCCCCCAAAAGAAAAAAAAACCCUCCAAAAAGUUUGGCCUACGAUCAAAUCUUUAGUAAACAAAAGCCCUUGCAUUCUCCACGUUACAUAUAUUCUUGGCUAGACAACAUCAAGCACAUGUAUGGCAAUUGAAUCAUAGUAAACUCCGACUCCCAGAGUUGGAUCGGCAGAAAAAAAAAAAAAAAAAAACGCGUUUCUUUCUGUGUACAUACAGGAGUGAUAACCGAAAGUCAAAGUUUUGUUUGAUACCAAAUUUUUGGCAGCAAAGAGGAUUUAUUUUUGUUUCCUAUGACUCUGGUAAAUCAUUAUAGCUGAAAUGACUAAGCUAUAGACUGUAGAACAUAAAAUGAGUACUGCAUGGUUGUUAUUUUGUUGAAGAUGGCAAAAACUCCUAGAAGAGAAAAUAAUUCCGAGAAAGAGGAACAGUUUUAGCAGGUGGGCAUGUCAGGUUUACACCAUCAGCCGUCACUAUGUAGGUCUCUGGAUCGACUUUGAUAUCUGGAAGGGCAUCAUUGAGCUUCAUGUCAAGUUUCGUGAGCCUCCGGACGCCACUUACAGCUUUCACCCUCUUCUUCAGUCCAUACUGGUCUUUUACUCCACAAUCUAGAGCUGCCUGAUUGCCCCAGAACAAUAUAGGGGUUAACAUACAUAUGACAAAAUGGAGUAGACGAAAGAUGGUGGUAAAAAUAUGUACCUUGCUAACAAAAGCAAUUGAGUUGUCACUUCCAGCCUUGCCAAAUGCUCCAAACAUCGGCCUCAUCAUGACCUGUAACAAGUUCUUGUUAAUGCAACAAACAGAACAAGUUCUAUCUUGGCGGAGAAACUUGAACAAAAUCCCUGCAUUAACAAGGCUUUGAAAUAUAUCAUGGAAGGGCACUCAAGGUUAAUUUGAAUUUUCACCGACUAAUACUCCUUCAGGCACAUAACAUGAAAAGUAAAUUACUUUAUGACGCCGUACCAGACAUAUAGAUCUGAAAAGCUAAGACAUACAUAUCAGUACAAAAGAUGGUGAUGAUGUUUACCGGUUCAGGAGUUGGAAUGCUGGCAUUUGGAUCCCCCAUAUUAGACCAAGCAAUUGUGCCACCUUUGAUCACCAUUUCUGGUUUUGCCCCAAAGAAGGAAGGCUUCCAAACAACAAGGUCAGCAAAUUUCCCCACCUGCACCACAUUAAUAUCUUCACAUUACCAAUAUCACAAGAAUAGAAAUGCCGAAACCAAAACAUCAAAUUGAUCAAUGAGCUGAUAUCUUCAAACCACCGACACAGAGAUGCACCGCUAGUGGCUCUUGCCAACUUCUGAUCAAAGGAAAUGCAAUUUGUUGCCAACCUUAGGUCUGUUACCAUGUUUCCUGUCUGGAAGUUGGUAGGUGAUAUCCCUCACAACUCGUUAAUUACAAUGUCUACUGUUUACAUUGUAAAGCCUCAAACUGAUUUUUCCAUAGAAGAUCCAAUAUAGUACAGAACUGCCACAAAAGUUACCUAUCAAACUUCCUAAUAAAUCCUAAGCACAUUGCCCUUAGAAUCCUGUACCUAUGGCAGUUAAAAUGAAAAAUUUCACACGAAGUGAAAUGUCAAAGGCUUGUGAUCCUGCAGACAAAAGCCAAUUACUGCAGAUAACAGAUUUUCACCCUCUAAGAGCUUAAUGUUUUCCAUUGCCUUUAGAUUCUCUGUUAUAUCAUUCACUCAAAAGCUCAUUAAAAAGCUUAACAUUUUUACACUCAACUAUUCUACAGAACAGUCACCAUACCUCAACUGAUCCAACAUGCUCAGAAAAUCCAUUUGCUACCGCAGGAUUUAUGGUGUAUUUGGCGAUGUAUCUUUUGAUCCGCAAAUUGUCAUUGUUUGAUUUGUUACCCUCAAGGGAUCCUCUUAAUAACUUCAUUUUGUGUGCAGUUUGCCAUGUCCUGCUAAUUACCUGCAAAAAAAGUUUGGCAUAAGACAAGCAUCAAAACCCAAAAGAUGUCUAUGGCAAAUAAAUAGCUAAGGAACUCAAUGAUGCAGUCUGAGAAAGCUAAGUCUCUGUAGUUAGUCCCAAGCCUAAGUUAAGCUCCUUAAACUGAAGCAAUUGCAUUUCCACUAAGAAAGAAAAGCUAAAAAGAUUUUUCAGCUUUAUACUUUUCCUUUGUCUCAUGGUUUUUAUCUUAUCUUCAUAACCAAGUGAGAGAGCAAGAAGACUGUAUAGGGAGAUGAUGCAUCAAUCUUGUAAAUUCCAGGCCGGAAUUCUGAAAACAUCCAUGAAAACAGGCUUUCACCAGAGAGUUCAGAGACAGACACACACACACACACAUAUAUGUAUACGUACAUCAUUCAUUUUUUAUGACGUUACUAAACCCAGAUGGCAGUGCUGGUAGCACAAUUUUAAAUACGAACAUAUGAGACUAGAAGAAACUGUUAACCUAAUUGAUGAAAUGAGGCACUAGAUUAUGAGCCCAAGUGUUUAUCUUGAGGUGGACGCUUUUACAUCAGUUCUAAUCAAACAAAAGAGAACACAGAUCAUAUAAUGAGAAGGCAUUUAAUGAAUAGAACCGUUAAAAAUGUUCAGACUACAAUAGGGAGAAGCUGAGUGAGAACCUCAGCUAUACGACCCAUAGCCUGUGAAUCAGAUGAUAUAAUGCUAAUAGCCCCCAUAUCAUGCAAAAUAUCUUCCGCAGCUAUUGUUUCUGCACGAAUUCGUGAUUCAGCAAAAGCAACAUCCUCUGGAAUAUCCUUAUCAAGGUGAUGGCAAACCAUCUGUACAUAGAACCAUUUUUUAGAAAUCAAUUAUGUACUACAUCCUUUUCCUGUCAAAGAAUCACUCUUUUCAAAGUUUGUUUAUAUUAUUGUUAUUUUCCUUACCAGCAUAUCUAGGUGUUCAUCAACAGUAUUUGAUGUGUAAGGACGUGUUGAAUUAGUUGAUGAAGGAAGAACAUUCUUGACACCACACACUCUGAUAAUAUCAGGCGCAUGUCCUCCACCAGCACCUUCACUGCACAAAAUCGAGACAUCCAUAGGUGAUUAUGCAAAAAUGCAUUAUUUCCUUAAUUAUUCUUAACUAAAGAGAGCCAAUGUGCCCCAAUCAGAAGCUUAUACCUGUGGUAAGUAUGAAUUGUUCUAUCUUUAAAAGCAGCAAUUGAGUGCUCCACAAAACCAGACUCAUUCAAUGUGUCAGUGUGGAUAUUCACCUGUCAAGUUGCACAAAUAGUGAUUAGAAGUACAAUAACUAGCCUGAAGAAGAGUCGGUUACCUGAAUGUCAUGUUGCUCGGCAACAGUCAAACAAUUGUCUAUUGCAGCAGGAGUAGUUCCCCAAUCCUCAUGAAGCUUUAAACCCAUUGCUCCAGCCUUGAUUAUUUCAUGCAGGCCAUCUGCCUUUGCACUAUUUCCCUAAAGUUUCAAGACCAAAUCAUGAAAUGAAUGAGAUAAGCACGAACAUUCUCCUACUUGGAACAAGAUGACAUGCAUAAUCAAUGUGUCAUCUGAAGAGUAACUGACAAAGAACACGCACUUUUCCUGUGAAACCAAAAUUAAGAGGUAAAUCAUCUGUUGAUUGCAACAUUAAUUUCAUAUGUGAUGCCGCUGGUGUACAAGUUGUUGCACGCGUCCCAUCUGCAGGUCCUGUUCCACCUCCUACCAAUGUUGUGAUACCUAAAAGCAUGGUAGAGAGUAGUACCAAACACAUGUUAGAACCAUGCUCCUCCUCUCUAAGGACAAAAAUGUAUAGAUGAUCUAACUCUAUUGAGUUUCGCUUCUCUUAGGACUAGCUUUUAACAUUCAGAACAGCAAUUAUAACAACAGAAUAUACAUAAAGCCGUGGAUGCCAAUUGCCAAAGCAGUAUCUGCAUAUAAUCAAAAUCAAAUUAAAGCAGAUACGAUAUUACAGAAGACAUCGAUGUCCAAUUUGAUACACUUCGACACUGAAUGGUAGGAUUGAAUAGAAGGUUUAAUGUAAUGCAUGAAAACCUUUGUAUUUAUGGCAAAAAUCCUGAUCAUUGAACUUGCUUUACUCAAUCUACAGUUGCUGCAAUUGUCAUGAUUUUAUUGUCAAAGUUAGAUAAACACAAUAAGUGCACAUGAUAACAAAGAUCCUGUAAACUUUAAUUAACAGUAGUGGUGGUAAAAGCAGUCAAGAACAUCCUUUCUACACCACCAAGAGAGACAAAGAAGAAAAUGAGAGUUUAAUGUUCUUCGAUCAUGUUAAAAGUAUUUAUUUCCAGUACCUUAUCAGUUGACCAAAAUAAAAAGAUUAGUUUAUCAUGGCUUGAAAUCAAGUGUAAAGUGCAUCACUACUACAAGUGAGCAGAUUUUUCUUUUUCUUUUUCUUUUCUUUCUUUUUUUUUAUAAAAGGUAAAACAGAAUCGUGAACAUUUAUCUCUCUAACAAGAAAAGAAACUGAUUCUCAUGGAACUAGAGCAGAAAACGCAACAAAAACAAAAUUUCAUCAAUGAUAGUCAUAAUUUCUUAAGAGCAACAUAAACACGUUUUUGUUAAGCACAAGCGACACAUCAUCAUGAAUAGAAACGAAGACUUCUCAUAACUAUGAUUUUCUAGGAUAUUCAAUAAGCUCUAUGAAAGUUUUCCCAAGUAUAUUGUGAGAAUGUCGCUCCCAAAUUUCCAAAUGAUGAAUCCAUAUAUGGAAUCUGUUAGUAAGCUACCUUGUAAUUGUCAUCAUUAAUCUUAGCUCGUGCAUUUACAGAAUUUCAAAACUUGGAGAAAAUAAUCAGGCGGGGGUAGAAAAUGUAUAUUCUCUUACUGACACUUUUUUUACAGCAUCCAGAAGAAUUAUUAGCAUAAAGUACCCAUCUGGACAUUAAAACUUCAGUAAUCUACCAGGUGAAACAAGAGGUCUACAUCAACUUUAUCAAAGGUAUUAAUAUAACAGGCAUGAAAAAGCAAAAUAAAGUCAUAAAACUUUAAGCUGUUUGGCGCUCAUAUUCAUCAUCAUUUGUUUAAUACUGAAUUCAUCAAAAUGAAACAGCUGAAUUUGCUUAAAGUUGCAUAAAUCUUACCACUUGAUAUUGCCUCAAAAGCCAGCUGAGGGCAUAUAAAAUGCACAUGACAAUCUAUAGCUCCAGCUGUUACAAUAAAUCCUUCACCAGCAAUUACUUCAGUAUUAACCUGAUCCAACAAAGCAAAAUGUUAGAGUCUUCAAACUUAAAAAGGUAAUUACACCUUGAACAACACUGCAAAGAGAACAGCUUGAACUCACCCCAAUAAUCAUCUCAGGAUACACUCCAUGCAUGAUAUCUGGGUUGCCUGCUUUCCCUAGUGAUGCUAUGAAACCAUCUUUAAUUCCGAUGUCAGCCUUAAUAAUACCGGAGUAGUCAAUAAUUACUGCAUUUGUUAUGACAGUAUCCAAACAGUCAAUGGCUGCAUAACCACAAGCCUGCCCCAUUCCAUCUCGCAGAACUUUGCCACCACCAAAUACACAUUCAUCACCAUAAACAGAAAAAUCUCUCUCUAUUUCUGCGAAUAAAUCAGUGUCACCAAGCCUAAUUUGAUCACCAAUUGUGGGCCCAUACAUAUUGGCAUAGGUCUCAUGUGAUAGUUCAUAAGAAAAAGGGGAUCCUUCUUCAAUGACACCUUCACUGCAAAACCAGUUCAAUUUUCAAAUAAGCCAUCUUUACUACUUGUAACAAUCUCCACGGAUUGCAAUUACUCAAAUCAAGAAAUUCAUAAGGAAAUGUUAUCAGGCAUCCUAUUCAAGCAGCAUAACUCAGGCAAGCAAAAUAACUUUGUCCAAAGCAGAGUGAUAUUUGGAAAGACAAAUGAAACUUGGGAAGCUGCCCAGACCUCGAAUUUGGUUCUUCAAGAUGCUUACAUGCUCUCUCUUGUAUGGCAUCCAUCAAUGCUGUCAUAUUGGCAUUAUGAACUGGACCAUCAGCAAUUCCAUUUCCUCCCCUAAUAACUUGUUUACCUUCUAUUCUGACAAGGGUAACAGUUUUUGUGUCUCCUGGCUAGCAAAGUAGAAUACUUUUUGUUAUAAACUUGCUAAUUUUGGACACAAGUUUCAAAAAUGACACAAAUUACAUGACAAUCAGCAUUACACACACGAGAAACAUGAUGACAAUAAUGAAUGCAUAAAGAUGAAUAAACAGAAGAAUAUACAAGCGGAAAGAAGUUCUCCACAAAUCAUUGGCACAAAUACAGUCAUUAAAGAUUGAAAACAAGAACUGCUCUCCAUCAUGUGCCUGAUUGAGAAAUGAAGCAAAUAACUCUUGCUUAGCAGCAUAGACAGGUCUCACUAUAUAUCAAGAAGCACUAAUUUGAAGUCAAUCAUAGAAAGUCAAUCUUAAGGUAGCUUUAAGAAAACCAUGUGGAGUUCCUGACCCUCUGAAAAUAACACUUUUUAUGUAGACUAGAUAUCAGCCAUGGGGCUUACUCAUAUCAAAGAUUAACAUUUGUGCUUGUAGAGUCUCAUGCUGCAACUUCAAUGGAAAUAUCAGAAACAGUCAUUUCAAUUCUAACAGAGUCAAAACAUUUAACCUCAAAUCUAGUAGCGGUCCCUGCUGGUAUAUUCAACCGCAUUGCAUAGGCUUUCAUUCGGUUGAAAACCAAAUAGGGGUUUGCCUCAAUAAAGUGAUAGUGGCUUCCAACCUGGAAAUUCAAGAACCAUCAACAUUGUCAAUAUUUCUUCAUUAACUUCAAGUGUCAUUGCAACACUCUAGCAGCAUUUCUUGCUAUAGAAAGAAAAGCUUAAAGUAAUGAAGACAUGAUGUUGAAGGAUAGAUAUGGUCACAUCAUCCAUACAAUAGCUAGAAAUUCUCCAGAGAUUGGGUAUGUAUGUAUGUAUGUAUCUAUAUAUAUAUAUAUAUAUAUAUAUAUAUAUAUAUAUGCUUAAGCCAACACCUGAAUCGGCCUGUCUCCAGUGUUAGUGACUUGAAGCUUAACUGCUCUCCUCCCGGGGUUGAGUGUAAUCGAUCCACCUCCAAAGAUGAUCUCACCAGGGAUUUUACCAGCUUCUACAGGAGGAAACUUGUCCAAUGAAGGGACUGCAAAAUAGCACCUUUUAAAACAAUGACCCCCACAAAGAAGAUAGUUCAUAAAAAAAUAUUUUCUAUCAAUAGUAAGAUGGAAAAUACAAGACUAAUAAAACUUGUGUUAAUAGCAUGCAAAGGACUUGUGUGAAAUUUAAGCAACAGAUAAAGCUGCCCGACAUUAUACAAGUGCAACUCAUGGAGGAAUUCCAUGAUCAAAUCUCAGUUGCAGAUUUUUAACUUCAUGUAUCAUGAAAUAUAUCUUGAUAGUGUUCACUUCCAAAUUAAGCUGUUUUACAGGAGAGGGCUUUACCAACAAAGAUAUUAGAUAAAGAUAUGAUUGAGUAUUCAAAUUUGUAACAUUCACAAGGAACUCCCCAUGAUUCAUGCAAUGUAAUCACCUGGAAGAAAGGAACCAUAUAAUGCAAGUUCCAGAUUUCCAUUUUCGGACACUAUGGGAUCGUGAAUGGUGAUUAGUUUUGUUCCGUCAGGAAAGGUUCCCUCAACCUGUACUUGCAUUUACAAGGAGGUUAUGAUUCAGAAAAAAAAUUUUGCAGUCAUUGACCAGGAAAGGACAACCAUCAACAUCACUUCAGAAUCUACAAGAUCCACUUACCUGUACAGUGUUCAAGAGAUGAGGAACAGCUGGAAGAACUUGCCUCCUGCCAAAUUGAGCAGAAAAUAAAUAAUGCAACUAUUUGCUUCAUGAUUCUUGUCAAGAGUGGAAAACAUUGGUAUAAGUUUUCAGCAUUGAUGAUACAUAAUGUUCUACAUAAGCAAAAGCAUACAAAUGAAACUGUUCCAUAUAUUCAGUCGAAUAUAGGCCUGUAGCCAGGAUGGAAAUGUGCAUAAUGUGAGUCAUAAAAAGAAGCUAUCUUUUUGUAUGACUCAUAAUUUGCACUUGUAAAUGAUCAUCCAAGCAAGCAACAGAACAAGGGGUAGGAAUUGUGUAGACAAAACAAACAAAGUGAUGAGUACCAGAUUUCCUGGCUACCUUCCUAAGAACUGUCUUCCAAGGUCCAUCAAUUCAGCCACACUCUUCUCACCAUCACGCACCAACUCGAGAAUCUAUUCAACCACAGCAAUGGGUAUAGAAUUCAAAAUAACUAAAUAAAACAACAAGAAUAGUCAUGACAGCACAAACUAUAAUUGGAGUGAUAACACAAGAAGCAGCUUUACAAAUCUCACAGCUCAAACAUUAGUGCGACCUCGCACAGAUAUAACUUUUUUUUAAUGAAAACAAAAACAGGAAGCCUAAGGCUUUAGGCACUCCCAUGUUAUCGUUAUAACAACAAAAUUAGCUCAUUGGUAAACAGGUAAGCUGAAUACAAAAAGGUAUUACAAAUAAUGUAUUUAUUACAGCGUUACAUUUCACAUUUCACAAUUUAAAUAGUGCCUACAAUCGAUUCUGACAAAUAAGAAAUCCCAAAAAAAUACAUUAAAACAGGGUCAAGAUUGGAGUGGCCUUAAAGUGGAAAGUCCAAAGCAAUUUGCUGAACACAUGACAUGCAAAUGAAGAAUAAAUGGAAGAAGGGUUGGGCUGGGCUGGGGAGAAUGAAAUGGAAAUACCUGAGCAGCGAUGAGAGCAACGGCUUCGGUGUAAUUAAGCCUCUGGCCCCUAGCCAAACGCUUCUGGGCAAGCUGCCCUGCAUUGUGGAGCAUCAACUUGUCCAUCUCUCUGGGCACCAGCUUCAUCUUUUCCGUAGUCCCGCCCCGACCUUGCUUUCAAAUUUAACAACAACUAAGACGACCCCACAAGGUUCAAGCUUUCUAUUUGUCUGACAGAAUCCUUAUCAGGAAAAAGAAAAAGAAUUUGGGCGAGCCACAACUGCACAAGUCAACUGGCCUGGUUCUGCUUACUUGAUUCUCGGAUGAUUUUGUAUAUGCGAUACAAGUCUACAACCAACAAUGAAAAAGCAAAGUGAUCGAUAGUGGAUCAGUGAUGCCACUGGGCACAAAUCACAAUGGCCUCGUACGGCGUCGUAUUUAACCACAGGGCUAUCCUCUCUGCUUCUCUUUCUGUCUGAUGCAUGGGUUCUUCCUUCAGUUCGCUUGGGUGCGUGGGUUGGGACUUGGGACAGGGAAUAUACACUCAAACGAUUCUAUGGUGGCUCCCAGUGGAUCCAGUAGAACACAUAAGCGGAAACCAGAAAAGGCCAAAAGGUACAGGGCAAAAAAGGAAGGCGUGAUAUUUAAUUGACGCCCGAAAUAUCACGCCUUCAGUUGCCCAGCCAUGGUGGUCAUUCCAAUUUCCAUGCUUGUUUACUCUUCCGCAGCUGAUUAUAAUUUAUAACUAUUAAGUUUACCUUGUUGUAUUAAUUAGUCUUUCAUAUGUGACAAUUGCUAAAAACAUGAAAGUGAGCAAAGGCCCGAACUAAUUUGUUGAGGAUUGGACUUCUUCUUGAUCUAAAUUAGUUGAAGAAUGAGUCACUCACAGCAGAAUAUGUAGCAUACACUCAGAAAAAAAAAAUUUUAAUUGCAGGAAUCCUUUGUCAUUAAAACCCUUUUCAACAUUACUUUUCUGUCAAUAAUGUAGACAAUAACAUAAUUGAUGUAGACACUAAUACAGUAAGAGUAAAUCUUAUAUAUACUGACAGUGCAUACACUAUCAUCGUUGGAUCCAUGACACAUAUGCAAAAAUUAAAUUUCAAAUUUAAAUUUUGUGUAGUUGUCAUUCAUCCAAUGUUGAUAGUGUAUACAUUGUCAGUGUACGAAAGAUUAAUCCAUAUAGUAAAUGUAGACAGUAACACAUCAAAAUAAAAUUUUUUUUUUUUUUUAAAAAAACACAACGAAUUUUUUGAGCUGGUACCCUGCCAUGCAUAUUCAGAUGGAAGAUUGCCCUCGACAACGGCUAUCAGCAUCAGGUUCGGCGCGGCCAAAAUGAAAUUGGCGUCGCAAAUAUGUCUUCUUGGGUUCUCAGAUUCCAAGCGAUGUGCAUUACGCCAUGAAUUUCUAGCAGUCAACAGAGAUUCCUCAAUAAUUAAUUAGAAGAAUAUCUAUCUAAAUAAAUGCUCAUCUGCAGAGUUUGUAGUCUAUGAUCCGUAACAUGCCAAAUUACCACACGCUCUGAUCGAUCCCAUACUUGGAUCGCAUCCACCCAUACUAUAGUGCAUGGCUGCGACAUUGAUGUCAGAUGAGAUUGUGGGCUAUGAUAGAUACCUUGUAAAAUGAAAAUUGUGUUCAAUUGUUGAAUGCUACAUACAGUAAUUUGUUUGAGUUUCGUGCUCUAGAAAGAAUAAUAGUUCAAGAUAGAAACUUGCAACUUUUUUUUCUUCUUAGCCGGAGCCCAGAAACUUGCAAGUUGAUACGAGCUAUUACUAGCUACAAGUUGAAAGUAAUUAAAGGAGGGUUACCCAAAUGCAAGUCAAUGCAGCUGGUUAGCCAUUCUUUGCCUCACUCUUAUGACUUGCUCUCAAUUUAAUAAUUGCAAUGCAUGUGAAGCUGGUUCUCGCUGCCCAGAUCUACUACUCAUUGGAAGUUCUGACCAUGCGAAUCACAGACCAAGCAUAUGGAAAGAUAAUCAAGUUGUAGCAGAAUAACAAGAUUCGUUGAGAGAGAACUUAGUCAAAUAUAAUUACUAAUAAGGAGAGCAGCUGAAGAAAUGACUUUUCGAGAAUUAUCUACAAGAAGGAAUCGGGUGAAGAUGAAGGUGAGCCCAACGAUCAUAAGAGCAGCAGAUCUUCACAAAUCAAUUGUGCUAUAACAUUUAAUCCAGGACUGGGAAUUGCAAUUUUCUUUUUUCUUUUUUUUUUAAAAAAAAAAAGCAGCAGACUGGGAAUUGCUUGGUUGCUCCAACUUUGAAAAAAAUUCCACAAUAGCCUAUCAACUUUGCUCCAAAAUUUCCAUAUAUAUAUAUAUAUAUAUUGCAAUCCAUCCAUAACAACAUGAAAGGUAUUGGAUUAGUCCAAAUAUAGGAAUAGAUAGCACUAGCAAAAUAAAGAACUUUCUUCAAGAUUCUGUAUCUAACUAAAACAAAGCAAGACAUUCACUUGUGAUCUGAUUGCUAAUUCUAACUUUGUAAGAAAUUAAUUAUCUAAACUUAAAAGACGUUUAACUGUCUUGAUCCACCCAAGAGCUUGGGUUUGCCACUGCCAAUACAUAGCAGCACUUUGCAUCAAAAGUGACAGGCGAUGUCAAAGCGUUUGGCAUUACAUCAUUGAAUUAUUUAGCUAGUUACUGAUGUUUCCUGCAAUGGUCAAGUUUACACGUUUUAUGAAAUCAUAAGAAGAGGAAAAGGGCUCCUACCAAAAACAAGAAAGCGAAAAAAAAAAUAAUGAUAAUAGGAGGAGGAAAAGGUCCAAAGGGGCGUGUGUUUGAUUUCUGAAAGAUGUAAUCUACAGCUAAAUACAAUUUGUCAACAAUACAAGUUUGUAUCAUUUCUUUCAUCGUUUUCACUUCGACAGCAGAAUUUCUUAUGUUAUCUGCAAGCCUUUUUAUCGUACGUGUGAUAAAAUUAUUUGGAAGUUGGAUGAACAAAGAAGCUUGCAGGCCAAAUCCGGCAAAAUUCGAUCAGGAGCAACCGUACUUUGUGUCCAUACUCCAUAGUAAGCAACUAGCUACCUGUAUUGUGCCAGCUAGCGGCCGAUUUCUAGUGCCCGAUGAGGGAAGUACAGGUGUUGAGAUAUCAUGAGUCUAUUAUGCUAUUCACAAAAGACAGAAGAAAAGUUAACUGGUAGUUAACCUUCUCCAAGAAACUAAUGUGUCAAAGAUUACUUUAAUAUUCGUCACUUUAAAGUUUUAACCACUCCAUGUCAUAACAAUCGGUACUUUAUUACACUAUUGGUGAUUAAUUACAAAAUAUUCAUUUUGGAUUUUUUUCUCAAAGAAAUUCAAUCCAUUCCUUUGUUCUUUGUAUAAGUUUCAACAGUAUUGUACAAGUUAUUGAGGAUGUGUUUUCUUAAAAGUUGCAGGUACAAAAUGCACUCUUUAAUUUGUCUAGACAUCUAUUCCUUAAAAAAUGCAUUAGGCGAAUGUGGUUUUUAAAACUUUCACCAUUCGAGAACUUUUUUGAAAAACUACCACCAUUUGAUCAUUUCAUCGUCCUACUAAGGACGAUUUUAGAAACAAGAGAGUAUCCAACCACUCAGCUUAUUUCUAAUCUCUAAGGGUCUAUUUAGUAGGCCAUGUUUUUAACAGAAAAAAAAAAUUUCAAAAAUUUUUCUCCAACUUUUACUACAGAAACUUGUAAAAACACCUUCUAAAUUUUAUAAAAAUGCACCCUAAAAUAUCCAAAAAAAUACACACCCAUUUUUUCUGUUCUACCAUUAUUUUUCCUAACCAAUUCCACUUCCACUUCCACCUCCACCGACCUUCAUCCCCUCCUCACAUAACCAUCAUUGCUGUCAUCGCCACCUUCUUUCUUUCUUUUUUACUUUCUCCCUCCCUCUACUUUUCCACUCCUCAUUCUUCUCUCUUCUUCCUCUAUCACCCCCUUUUCGCCUCUCCCUUCACCCCCACCCUCCUUUCUAUCCCCCCAUUUAAUCACAUGACCAGAGAGGAAGAGGGAGAGGAGGAAAGGAAUGGGUGAAGGAAGAAGGGAGGGAGGGAGUGGCGAGAGAAGGAAAAGGUUAAAGCGAGAGAAAGGGAAAGCGAGAAAAGAGAAGAGAGAGAGAGAGCUAGGAAAGACGAUCGUGAAGUUUUCGAUCGACGGUGAUUGAAGUAGUAAUAGUGAUAAAAAGGAAGAAGAAGAGAGAAAAGAGAGGAAAUAAAAAAAAAAUCAAAUUAUUUAUAAAAUUUUUUUUUACAAAUUCUAUAGUAAGUUUUAAUAAAAUUUUGUAGAAACGUCUAAAAAAUAUGCUAUCCAAAACAGAUCAUAGAUAAGAAGCAAUAAUGUGCAAAGAAGGUGUACUUACUACUUGCUCAUUUGCUAAUUAGACAAAACGAAAAAUACAAUUCUAAUUAACUUUUUCCUUGUAUUCGAAGUCAGAACUAAUUUUCCAAUCUAAGCUCUCCAAUUUUUCUUUCUUUUUCUUUUCUUUGUUAUUCAAACUCAACUUUACUAAGUUGCUUCGACUAGGAGGACAAUUGGACUUGUAUUCUCAAGCUCGCACAACAAUGAUGCUCAAUAUUGUGGGUAUCAAUUGCAUUUAUUAUAUAUAUUCAUGGAUCAUAAAAGCCUCUUUGUAUUCUUCGAUUGAUUUAAAUAUAUAUUCAAAAAAUUUGCAGCUACAAUCACAGCUAACAAAUUCCAUCAUGAACUUUUCCAUGCAAAGCUAACCGUAUUUUUCAACUGGCUGUGCUAAAUUAUUUAAUAGGCUUUUUCAUCAAGAAUAAAAAGGCACUUAAUAUUUUGUUGUAUAUAGUCCUUCUGUCAUGGUCUCAUGUGACAAUUAAACCAUAACAUGAAUGAAUAGGACUGCGAUGUGAAAAGUAUAUCGAAAUUAAUUUACUUCCAACAAUAUCAAAAUGUUUGUGAGAUUUAUGCCGAAAAUUUAUUCUUAGGAGUACCUGUAUUUUUAGCUGAAAGCUCUAAACAAUACCAAUCCAUUUCCUCCCUUUCUUUCUAGAUUUAAGACAUGGUUACUCUUGACACCAUAUACUACAUUAUUAAUAAGAUUUGUCCAAAAAAAUUGAGGAAAAAUCAUAGGUAUAUUACUCUACUAUAUACUCCUUGAUUUUCUUAGACGUGGGAAAAAAAUCCAAAAGGGGAAAAAAGAAGAAGAAAAAGAAAAGAAUUGUACUAGUAUAAAUUGGUAAUGCCCGAAGUGGGUCCCACAACAUUGAAAAUGGAGGACCUGGUCAAAAACCCAUAGUUUUAACCACAGUUAAACUUGCUCCAGGCAAUAAAUAAAAAGCCUUCACAUCACAUCCCCUCCAUUUCUCCCCUGCAGGCUGCAACGACCAAUUUCCCCUCACGCUUCACUCACUCCUCACUUAGCACAUCUUCCAAACUUCAAUGCGACCACAAUAUUAGCACCUGUUUGGUUUUUUUUGGGUAAAUUUACUUUUCCACCAUCCAGAGAGAUCGUGGAGAUGACGGUGUUCACCUCCACUAACGCAGCCGGCGGGUACAUGGCGGGAAAGCAAGUGUUUCCUGUGGAGUACGAAGCAGAGUCGCUCUCUCAGCGGCUGGUCGACGCGGCUCACGCCAACGACUUGAAGUCGGCUUCGGAGUUAAUAUCUAACCCCUUCGUUGACGUUAAUCACAUGGGAACAGUUUUGUUGAAGGCUAGAAAAACCGAGGUGGUGUUGCAUGACGAGGAUGCCUGCGAAGUCAGCGUCGAGUUCGAGGAGUUUAAGACUGAGGUCACGGCGUUGUUCCUAGCAGCUCAUAACGGCAAUGUCGCACUCGUCCGAAAAUUACUGGUUAGUCAACGUCUUUACUGUUUAGUUAGAGCUAUUUAUUUUCUCUUUUUUUUUUUUUUUGUUUUGGCGUGAUCUCGUAGAAUAUAUGACUUGUAUAAGAGUUUAGUUUAGCCUUGGUUUUUUUCUUUUUUUUGGGGGGGGGGGGGGGGGGGGUGGGGGUUCCUUCUAUUUCUCUUCAAUAAUCAUUUUAUUGUGAAUGUGAGGAUUUUGUUGAUAGUUUGGGUUUUGCGAUUGAGGAAAUUAAUGUUUAAAGUAGGGGUUCGCCGGUGUGUUUUUUGAGAAGUCAACGUGGAUUCUAAUCACUAUGACCUGUUUCGGUAUUGGUCUCCCUGAAAUUCUUCAACUUGUGGAUUUUCUACGAGUUUUGUUCAUAUUUGGUAAUUUUGAGUGUUUAAAGAAUUUUUGAACUAAAUAUUUGCUUCUUACAUCAUCCUGUUUGCUUUUUAGAUAAUUUGAAUUUGAAAUCCGGGGCUCAAUUAGUGUAACGGGUGGACAGUCUUAACGCUUGAUUUGGAAUGAAAAGAGAAUUUAUCUAAAUGAAUUAAUUUAGUCAACCUGGUCGUUUGUCUCGGAGCUGCUGGGUGAAAUGAUGAAGGAUGCAACGUUUUUGUUUCCUUUUUCAGAAUUUUUUUAGCUCUUAUUCUCCUUCAACGUGGAAUUUGCAUCAUAAGAUGGUAUAACUCUCUCCAUUUACUUUCUUUUACUAAUUGAAUUAAUUAAAGUGAUUUUCCAUUAGGAUGUAGAUAUGGCGAUGCAUUUUGACAAUAUACCUUCCCAAACUAUUAUUGCAAAUGUUUGGAAUUUUGAGUUAUAGUGGUUCCAUCCAAUUAAGUGAUUCUAGUCAGGCCUAUCUUUACUUCUUUUUUUUUUUUUUUCCCCAAUAGUCAGGUCUAUCUUUACUACUACAUCAUUUUUGUGGUCACAAGUCUAGUCUGCCCGCUAUAAUUUGCAAACUAGGAAUUCUGAGCAAAUAAAUAGGCCCAGAGAAUGUAACAGUCAUGGAUCCCUUUAAUUUAGGCCUUUUAAGUUUUUUGUCUUUGUAUUACUUGAGACAUCUGAGUGAAGGUGCCAUAAACCAUAAACAAUGGGCAGCAUGAAACGUUGGUCUGUGAAUGAAUGAGUUAUUAAUGUUGGUAUGUUAACCUGUUAUUUUAACAGUGCAUUGUUGUUUUCUGUGGACAGAGUGCUGGAGCUGACGUGAAUCAAAAAAUGUUUCGAGGCUAUGCCACAACAGCAGCUGCAAGAGAGGGCCAUAUUGAGAUUUUGAAGAUGUUAAUUAGUGGGGGAGCAGCUCAAUCUGCAUGCGAAGAGGCUCUGUUGGAGGCAUGCUACCUGGGGCGGGCCAGACCAGCUGAGCUUCUCAUGGCCUCUGAUAUGGUCCGCCCACAUGUUGCUGUACACGCCCUUGUCACUGCAUCUUUUAGAGGGUUUAAAGACUUUGUGGACACACUUCUCAAGGUACUUGAUGGUCGCAGCCAACCUUUCUUAGUCAUCUGGGGACAUCCUAUUUGAUUGCUUUUUUAUGAUAAGCUGACAGAUCACUGAAGUUAGUGAUUGAUUAUGGUUACAGUUAGUUUCAUAUAGCUACUAUCUCAUUCGUGAUGAAUUUGCUUAUACUUUGACGAUAUCCAGGCGUGAUGAAUUUGCUUAGUUCAUGUUGCACCGUCCUUGGAAAUAUAGGACGAUAAUGUUGGAACUGGUAGAAUGUUGAAACCACUUGUUCUUGUCUCUUUCACACUCUCAAAUAACAACCUUUUGAAUUGAUGACAGUGUGGUGUGGACUGUAAUGCCACAGCCAGGGUGCUGCUUCAAUCUUCCAAGCCAUCUCUUCAUGCCAAUUUUGACUGUAACUCUCUGGCUGCUGCCAUUCUUGGUAGGCAAAUUUCUGUUGUUCGGCUGCUGUUACAGGUAAUGAUGUUGCUGCAGUGUCAUAAAGAUACCAUAGUAGGGCUUGUAUGUCUUAUCAAUUGGGUCUUCAACUUCAAGGGUGAACGGUUAUGCUUGCCUGAUGCAUGCAACCCAUAUUAGGCUCAAUUUUUAUGGAUCGCACGUUUUAGGUGCUCACAAGACCUGUUAUUUCACAGCCACAGUGUGGUUAUGUUCUGAAGUGCAGACUCUAUGUUGUAGGUUGGUGCCAGAACAGAUAUCACGGUCAGGCUGGGAGCUUGGUCAUGGGACGCUGCCACUGGAGAACAGUUCCGAGUAGGUGCAGGUCUGGCUGAGCCUUACCAUGUAACGUGGUGUGCAGUGGAGUUCUUUGAAUCCAGCGGUGCCAUACUGAGGAUGCUCCUCCAGCACCUUUCUCCUAAUAUUCCCCAUUUAGGGAGGACAAUCAUCCACCACGCGAUUCUCUGUGGAAAUGCCAGAGCAGUUGAGGUGCUUUUAGCUUGUGGUGCUGAUGCAGAAUUCCCCGUCAAAACUAAACAAACAGCGCACCGUCCCAUACAUAUGGCAUCAGAACAUGGGUUGGCCGGAGCUCUUCGCCACCUUAUUAAUGCCGGCUGUGAUCUGAACUCUCUCACAGAAUCCGGUGAGACUGCACUGAUGAUUAGUGCUAGAUGCAAGCAAGAGGAGUGCCUAAAACUUCUUACUGCAGCUGGUGCAGACUUUGGUUUGUCCAACAUCGCUGGGCAGUGUGCCAAGUCAAUUGCUGGAUCAGUACGGUGGGCAUAUGGCUUCGAGCGAGCAGUUUUAGAUGUUAUUCGAGAUGGGAAGAAUGCUCGAUCUAGCAAUGCUGCAAUUUUUUCUUCCUUAAUAUUUGUUACCCAAGCAAAUGAUAUCGAGGCCUUGAAGAAACUUCUCAAGCAACCGGAGAUAAAUCUCGACGAGCAAGAUGAAAAUGGAUUCUCAGCAGUCAUGGUUGUGGCGGCGGGUGGUAAUGUGGAGGCUUUUAGGUUGCUUGUUCAUGCUGGAGCUGAUGUAAAUUUGGCUAACAACUAUGGCGAAACCGCUAUUACUUUGGCUGAAAAACACCAGAACAGUGAUGCAUUUGAAAAAGUAAUGCUGAACUUCUUGCGUGCCAAGGGAGACAACAGCUACGGUGGAUCUUCAACUCUACACCGUGCGGCACAUAAUGGCGACCUCAAUCUGGUGCAAGCUUUGAUAAACGAAGGAUAUGACGUCAAUCUUUCUGAUUGCGAUGGAUACACCCCACUGAUGUUAGCUGCUAGGGCCGGAAACAAGAGCAUGUGCGAGCUUUUGAUAUCUCGUGGUGCUAGAUGUGAUAUUAAGAAUGCAAAGCUUGAGACUGCACUCUCACUUGCCAGAGAGAACGGUGGUGGAAAAGACGCUGAAGCUGUGAUACUGGAUGAACUAGCUCGAACGCUCGUGGUAGGAGGAGCUCAAGUGAAGAAGCACAUAAAGCAAGGCAAAGGAAGCCCCCAUGGCAAGGUACUAAAGAUGGUUGGAGCUACUGGUGAGCUGAGGUGGGGAAAAUCUAGGAAGAGAAACGUGAUAUGCCGCGGGGCAGAGGUUGGUGCGAGCGCGACGUUCCGGUGGAACAGACGAAAGAAGCUCGAUGCCGAUGAGCCGGGAGUUUUCCGGGUAAAAACCACAAAGAACAAGGAAGUGCAUUUUGUGUGCGAGGGUGGACUUGAAAUGGCAGAGUUGUGGGUGAGGGGAAUUAGGCUUGUGACAAGGGAAGCUAUUUUUGGCAAAUAAAAAAACCUCUGGUGAUUCAUAGCUGCGCCUGCACCCGUUCCAAUUUUUGGUUCAUGUACAUAUAGUAGUAACUACCAUAACAGAAGAGAUGUUGCAUAAAAUCAUCGGGUAGUAGCAGUAGUACCUAGUACGCUGUGCCUGUGCUGUCCAGCUAAUUAAUCCUGCGAAUGCGUCGUUGAUUUGUCUUUCCUCCAACUUCCGCCCUUUCUUUUCAAUUACUGUGUAUUAUAAUUAUUGAAAUUUCCCCCUUUCUCCAUCCUGUCCUACUCCUUCCCAUCACAUUUCCGGUCAGAGAAUGCAAGGUGGGUUAUAAUUAUAUUAGUAUUUAUUAUAUCGGCUAAUCAACAAUUAGUAUCAUCUUCCAAGAGACAAAAGGAAAGAAGAGCUCGUCAAAUGUCUGAACCUACCUGAUUAAUGGUAGAUAGUGAAAAAGAAUUUCACCUCAAGCGAUAAGGAGAUUUUUAGACCUUUGCAAUAAUGCUACUGAUAAGUUUAACUCCACUAUUCCGUUUCCCCUGAAAAAAAACACAAACUAAAGACGUGACUCUUUAAGUCAUUGAAUGGACCUGAAAUUUCUAUUUUAGUUACUUGCAGAUUGUAAUUUAAGAGAAACUGUAGGAGUAAUUUAUUUGUUUUCUACGUAUAUAUAUUUAUAUUGAAAGGAAAGAGUCCUUUUCGUUUGCACAAAUGAACUUAUACAUGGAAUGUGAAUGGGAUGACACAUUUUGUCCGUCACUUGGUUUAUCGUAAAUCAUUUACAUAAUAAAAAUUUUGUCUCAUCAUGGAUUAUGAAUUCUCAGUGGAUUUUUUUUUUUUUUUGGUCGGUACGAUAGACUAUUCUAUACUAGGGGUAAAGGAUAAUCUAAAAAGACCCAAAAGUAAUUCGGAAGAGGCUGAACCACCACUGAACCAAACAAGUGCACUAUGCAUGCGCCUGAUUUUUUUUUUUUUUUUUUAAACAGAGUCACAUAAUGUAACCAUUGGUGGGAGUCAAGCUUUAAUGCUUUCUCGGUGGAUCCUUCUGCAAUCAAGGUACCCUUCUUUUAUAUAUAUAUAUAUAUAUAUAUAUAUAUAUAUAAUUAAAAAAAAAGAAAAGAAAAUUUGGAGCAAGCCUGAAUCCUCCUGACGCCAGUCGGUUUGGGUCGUCGGAGCAACCAACCAAACAUUAGUGCUAUACCUACGCUCAAUUGGGUUUGCUGCACUUCGUAUGGGCCUCAAAAUAAUCCAAUUUUUACAUGGGUGCCCACUUCACCUAUUCAACUAAAAGCCCCAUAAGAAAUGCCAGAUCUAAUUAGUCUCCACGUACCCGAUCCGAUUGUCACAAGGCCUGCACUUAAUCUCCACCGUCAGAUUUUACCAGAGGCACAUCCUAACCGUCACCAAGCUCUCCACAUCAGUUUUCUUCGCAUUCAUCUCUCGACGGAUUUUCACUCAUCAAAUCACCGGUACCUCAAUUUAGAGCACCAAAGCCAGCUCAGAAUCAUCCUUCAUAGUGCAGCUCCGAAGCUCUUAUGGUACGCAUCUCCAUAUCGCCAUUGCUCAAAUACUUUCGUUUGAACUGAUUCUCUGUUUCUUUUCAAAUGUUGAAUUUGUUGGUAGAUCCAUGAGAAAGGAAAUCUUAGUUUUUUUUUUUUCCCUUUGGGUUACUUUGUAAGGAUAAGGAGUUUUAGGGUGUUAAUUUGAGGAGGACUUACUUAUAUACAGUUGAAAAUUCGAGACUGGGUUUUGUGAUUAGAAUGUCGAAUUUAUCUGUUAAGAUACUGAUAAGCCCUAGGGAUCAAUUUCACAUUUCCGGUUAUUCUAUUAACUUUUGGGUGGAUUUUUUUAAAUUUAAUCGACUUUGGGUACCCCUUUUGGCGAAAUUAGAAAAAGAUUGUUUUUUUUUUCUGUUGAACAAAGGGACAAACUGACCAUCGAGCUCUCGUGGUUUUUGCUUAUUUAUUUUUCUUUUUUCUCUUUAGGAGUUAAUAGCUGUACCUGCUUAGUGGAACUGUAUUUUUAGGUAUUCAAGCUUUGCAUCUUAAGUUCUCUCUCUCUCUCUCUCUUUUUUUUUGGUUUAAGAAUUUGUUCACUGGUAAAAAAGGUUCGACUUUUGGGUGGAGCGGAAUGCAUGUAAGUGGUUCAUCAAUUGAUGAUCGAUUUUCUUCAGUCGAGGACUGUAAUUGAGUAGACGACCAUUUUGUUCAGUGGGCAUAUUCUUCCUCCCAUUUUGCUUUAGUGUAACCUCAGCAUGUGUCGACAUAGAUUUAAAAAGGACCAACAAAUAAUGCAAUGUCAAGUGGAGAAAGGGAAAGAGAGAAGAAAAAAAAGACCAAAGGCCUGCUGUCAUACAUGGUCAGAAUGAUUGAUAAUAAGAGAAAGAUGUGGAUGUCAGGCAAAUUUUUAACCUGGAUUUUGCUUGUAACUUCUUGCGUAGGCACCCAUAAAGGGCAUCCUUUCUUCACAAAGGAUAUCUUUGGUCAAGCAGUCUGAGCAUUGGGUCCUGGGCAGUAGAUUAUUCAGCACUCAGGCUGCAUCAACUGCUAGCACCCCACAGCCUCCCCCUCCUCCCCCACCUCCUGAGAAAACCCACUUUGGUGGCCUCAAAGAUGAGGAUCGCAUUUUUACAAAUGUAUAUGGUUUGCAUGACCCUUUUCUCAAGGGUGCUAUGAAACGAGGAGACUGGCAUAGAACAAAAGACCUGGUACUCAAGGGUGCUGAUUGGAUUGUCAAUGAAAUGAAGAAAUCUGGUCUUCGUGGGCGUGGUGGUGCUGGGUUUCCCUCUGGUCUUAAAUGGUCCUUCAUGCCAAAGGUGUCUGAUGGUCGUCCCUCCUAUCUUGUUGUCAAUGCUGAUGAGAGUGAACCUGGAACCUGUAAAGAUAGGGAGAUAAUGCGCCAUGAUCCACACAAACUAUUAGAAGGUUGUUUAAUUGCUGGAGUGGGUAUGAGAGCUACUGCUGCCUAUAUUUACAUCAGGGGUGAGUAUGUCAAUGAGCGGAAAAAUCUGGAGAAAGCCAGAAGAGAAGCUUAUGAAGCUGGCUUAUUAGGAAAAAAUGCAUGUGGGUCUGGUUAUGACUUCGAUGUACAUAUCCACUUCGGAGCGGGUGCUUAUAUUUGUGGUGAGGAGACAGCUCUUCUAGAGAGCCUCGAGGGCAAACAAGGAAAACCCAGAUUGAAGCCUCCUUUUCCUGCUAAUGCAGGGCUGUAUGGGUGUCCCAGUACCGUCACAAAUGUGGAAACAGUAGCUGUUUCACCUACCAUUUUGAGGCGGGGCCCCGAGUGGUUCGCUAGUUUUGGUAGGAAAAACAAUUCUGGAACAAAACUUUUUUGCAUCUCAGGGCAUGUGAACAAGCCUUGCACAGUCGAGGAGGAGAUGAGUAUACCAUUAAAGGAGCUUAUAGAGAGGCACUGUGGUGGUGUUCGCGGUGGAUGGGACAAUUUACUUGCUAUUAUCCCAGGAGGUUCAUCUGUCCCAUUGAUACCCAAGCAUAUAUGUGAGGAUGUGCUAAUGGACUUUGAUGCACUUAAAGCUGUACAGUCAGGGUUGGGGACUGCUGCCGUGAUUGUGAUGGAUAAGUCAACGGAUGUUGUGGACGCAAUUGCAAGGCUCUCUUACUUCUACAAGCAUGAGAGUUGUGGCCAGUGCACGCCAUGCAGGGAAGGUACAGGGUGGCUUUGGAUGAUCAUGGAAAGAUUGAAGGUGGGGAAUGCAAAACUGGAAGAGGUUGACAUGCUUCAAGAGGUGACGAAACAGAUUGAAGGGCACACGAUUUGUGCAUUGGGUGAUGCCGCUGCUUGGCCAGUCCAGGGUCUGAUCAGGCACUUCAGACCGGAGCUCGAGAGGAGGAUCAGAGAACGGGCAGAGAGGGAGCUACAACAGGCUGCUGCUGCUUGAUACUUCUGUGCAGGUUGGUUCUGAUUUUCUUUUCCUUCCUUUUCUCUUUUCAGGUUUUUGGGAGGUAUUGGGAUUGAUUACAUUAGUAAGUUUAACUUUUUUUCCUUGUUGAUGUCAUAUUCGGAAGUGAUGCACAAUUGGUUGAGGAUCUCAUUUCUGGUUUUAGGCAACCUUACCAUCAUGUGGGUUCUUUUUGGUUUGGUUUCUUUUGUCUGUUAGGAUCAGUAUAGUAUUAACUAGUUAGAAGACUUGGGGAUUAAUGUGGAGUACUGGUUUAUUCUAGAGUAAGCACAGGUACUCCAGAAAACAAACUAAAGAUCUAAUCUGAUUUUGAGUAGCACCAAGGCAUUGCAUUUUGGUGCACUGCUUCCUCUUGCCUGUUUUUCUAAUUUGACUGGGCUGUCUCUACCUCUUUAUGUUCUUUUUGCUCUGCGUUUAGCUUGCUUUUCUUUUGUACGAGGAAUUGACAGUUUAGUGCAUUCAAUUUCUCUCCGCCUUUUGCGUACAGCUUUUGAUGUGGAAGUCAUUCUUGGUUUUUUAUGUGCAGGUGAGGACUUAUCCUGCUAGGGGGCUAUGUAAUAAACAAUUUGAGACUUUUGAAGAAUACAUGGACAUGCAAGCCAGUCUGCUGUCUGUCCAGCAGAGCAGCAAGUCUAAUUUUUAUGCUUGUAUCAGACUGAAUUGCUCCCUACUUUUAUGUUUUUUUUUUUAAGAGCUUACUGGAUACAAGUUGGGUUCUAAGAUCAUUUUAUCAUGGUUUUGAAGAUUCAGAAACCUGAUAGUAUAUGGUUUUUGUCAAUAAACUAAACAUUAAUGUUUGAAUGUUUUCAGAGACUGUAUUGGUGGGAAAGUUAAAGGAGAGUUGAAGGUUUUGACUCAUAUCAUGAUGAUAUACAUCUUAGUUGUUUUUGUACGUUAACUCUCUUAUGUUGCACUGUUUGCCGAAACAUCUAAUACGGAAACCCGGGAUUCCUUUCGCUGUUUGCGAGAGAAGAGUGAUCUGUUAGGCUGUUUCAUCUGGAAUUCCCAGACUCAGACACCUCUUACUUUCCUAGGGUAUCAGUAAAGUUUUUUGCUGUGUAAUUUUCGUUAUAUAAACUGCGGGAUAACGGAUUUUCCCCUGAGAGUCAUCCAAGUUCCAACUGUGCAAAAGACGAUGUAUUGUGAUUUUUUUAUUAAUUGUUACUCCAGUCCAUGCUGAUUUUCUUUUUUAAUCUGUCCAUUUCCUGAGCAGAGGAGGACUAAAGAGGUAUUCUCUCUUGCCCCAGUGGUAGCUUCUCAGUAUCUCGUGUCUCGCUCACAGAAAAUGGAUCCAACCCUGACUUUCAAGUCAACAUCCGGAUCAGGCAUGUUGACUUCCUCAUGUUGGAGGAGCUAUAAGACAGUGAUCGUGCUUUGUGCCUCAUUUUAGAUUAAUUUUAUGCUUAAGGACGUUAAUUAGAGCCAUUGGUCAAACCUCUCCAAAUUUAUAAAAAAAAUUUGGGAGAGAGAAUAAAAAUAUGUAGUCAUGCAUCGCUAAAAUGUCGGAGUGACUGGCGGCAACGAUGUAUCAGUUAGUACUAACAGCAGCACUUAUAACACUAUGGUGAUUUUUUUUUGGGGGGGGGGGGGGGGGGGUUUGACGACUCUGCACAAACAUGGAAUUAGUUAUUCCGGCCUCAUUUUUUCCUUUUAUAUACCUCUAGAUAAUUCAAUUUAAAAGAUUUUUCCAUAAAAUUAAAAUGGGUAAUUAUCCUUUCUUUUGUACCUUUAUAGAAUUGAAUUUAAAAGAUUUGGGUUCAAAGAAAUACCGGCAUUCGAGAAAACGUUAUGAAUAACCAUUUUUCAUUUCACUCAAAACCACCUCAAAUGCUUAUUGUUUCAACUCAAUGAAAGAUAUAGGAUAAACUAAUUUAUUAAACAAAUUGAAAUUGAUCCAAGAUGGCAUUAUUGUAAUAUACUGCCUACAAAAAAGGAGGAAGAAAGUAGUAAAUGCUUAUUGUUUAGUGUCCAAAUCCAAAAUGCACAAGGCAGAUGUGAUCGUGAUGACCAAUCACCACAUUUAAUUCAAGGGUUAAUAUAACAGUUUUCUAUUUUUUUUUUCUUUUAGCGCCAAAAAAAAAAAGAAAAAGAAAAAAGAGAGAGAGGAAGACAUGCCAUGGACGAAGAAAAGAAAGCUGUAUCAAGAAGGAACAGAAGAAGGCGGGAGGACAGGAAAAGGAGAGAGAAAGAAAGGAUGAAUGAAUCAAAAGAAACAGAUGGAAAGUAAAGUCGGAAACCAAUCCCCGGAAUGUAAAGAAUUCCUUUUACAACGUAACACGUAAAGUGGAAUUUUUUUUUUUUUUUUUUGUUUUAGCAAAGUAAAGUGGAUAUUACUGCUGUACUUUUCUUUUCUCCUCUGAGAUAUAUAUAUUUAUAAUGGGGAAAAAAAAUCAAAGCAAAUCAAAGCAAAAAAAAUCAAGAAGCUCGAGUCACCGUCGGAGAAAGGAGUGGACUUUUAUGCUCGAACUACGCUACGCUCAGCAUAAUUACCCAACUUAAUAGCAAAUUGGCAUUAGCACCUUCUUCUUCUACUACUUUGGGGGGGACUUCUGCAUAUACAAUUUUUUCUUUCAACUUUUUCCUCCAAAUUUUCUCACCUUUGCUCUCCAGAUACAAACAAAAAACUAUCACGAGCUUAAAAAGUUGGAGAAAUUCUGGACUAAACGAACAAUGGAUUACCAUCAUUAACGCAAACAAAGUAAAAUUUACUCGGGCUUCUCAGUCUCCAUAGCCUGUCUACCAAAGGUAAGUGUACCCCUUACUUCCACCCUCUUUUCUUUUAUCGUGCUACUUCAUUUUGGGAUUUAAAAGGGCUGCAUUGUCUGAUUAUUUAUUGAGUUUUGAUGUUUAGGUUUCUGACUGCUGGAAUGGUACUAUUAUGAAUCCCUUAUUUCUUUCUUUCUUGGUGUUUUUUUCCCUGUAACUUGAUAAAAAUCCUGUCUUUAAAUGGUUAUCUGUUCUUACAACAAUUGAGUAAGCUGUAAAUAUAUACAGGAAUAUUAAUCUCAGGAAAUAAGUUCAAUCGAGCUGAAAUGGUUGUAGUUUUUCCCCUGCUUUACUUCUCCUUUGCUCAUUUAUUCAAUUAAACAGAUUACGUUAUGUAUCAUUAAAUGUUGUUUGAUAAAGCGCAUUAACAAGGGAAAAAAAAAUGCUGAACCUUUUAAAUUUUUGUAUUUCGUGGUAAUUCUUUUUUAUUGACUUUUUAAUUGAUUUAUUGCUGCUUGUGGUUAGAACUCUAGCUGAUUACAAGCUUGGCGAAGAGCAUUCAUCUGUGUGAGAUCAUUCAGGUAUGGUGCUCGGUUUGAGGUCAAAGAAAAAAAGGGGUGCUUCGGUUCAAAUUGAUUACCUUAUCAAUGUAGUGGAGAUUAAGCCUUGGCCCCCAUCUCAGUCUUUGAGAUCGGUUCAGUCCGUAUUGCUUCAGUGGCAAAAUGGUGAUCAAAAUUCUGGUUCUUUCCUAACUGUUGCUGGGGAUGCGAACAUUGCGUUCAACGAGUCCUUCACACUUCCUGUAACUUUACAUCCAGAUAAAAAGGCCCGCGAUAGAUUUCAGAAGAAUUACUUGGAGUUCUCAUUGUAUGAGCCUCGUAAAGAAAAAGCCACUAAAGAGCAAUUGUUAGGGACAGCUAUAAUAAAUCUAUCAGAGUUUGGAGUAAUCGAAGACAUUUUGCCCAUUAUUGCUCCACUGAACUUCAAGAAGACUUCCAAAAGCUCACCGCAGCCAGCUCUUUAUUUUCAAGUAGAGCCCCUAGAUAAGGGCAGUUCGAAGUCCUCACCCAACGUGAGAUCCUCCAGAACAUCAUUGGACCAGGAUGGCCAAGAAGCCCAUGCUGAAUUCAAUGGUGACGACUCUGAGAUAGCUUCUUUCACCGAUGAUGAUGUUUCUUCUCAUUCGUCUCAGACAGUUGCCUCUUCUGUGUUUGAUGCUGCAAGGGCUUCACCAUCUCAGAGUGAUAAGGUAGCUGAUUCCACUCACUAAUCUUUGUGAUCUCUGUCUCAUGAUUAUAGCUUUUUCCUUAAUUAGUACCUUGAUUGACAAUCGUUUUGCCUUGGCUGAAUCUUCAUUCUGUAUUGCUCAAACUGGGUGUAUUGUCCCUAUUCUAAAACGGUGACAUAAUUCCUUCUUAAACUGAAUGACAUUCUCUGUGUGUGUGUUUCCCCACACGUGCGUGGAUGUGGUUGUCAGUGCAUGUGAGCACACAUUUUAGCUGACAUUUACAAAUCUACAGAAUGGAUUGGAGGCUGUCAAUGAAAUUACAGGAAUGGAUAAUCAACACUCAAAUGGAAGAUUGCCACCAUCUUCAUCCAUUAGCUUAUCAUUAAAUACAGGACACCCAGUAAACAACCAUACCUCGAAGUCCAAAGUCCCUGGGAGAAGCAAGACAUCAUUGCAGAAGAAUUCGUAUAACCCCUCAAUUGAAUCUUCUUCCUCAUUUGAUGGCUAUUACAAUAUGUAUGGGGGAUCUAGCAACUACAUAGAGUGCCUUGAGCAGGAAACUGUGACCCAUGGUGUUAGCAAAGAGGGAAAGAAUGAAGGAAACAAUCCAGAAUAUAAAAAUGAGCCAGUUGAUAGAUUAACUCAGCCCAUACAUGAUGAAAAUGACAUUGAAAAACAUGCUCCCAUUUUUAAGGGCAUGGAUGUUGCUCAGUUGGAAGUGAAUGGGGAGAAGCAAGAAAAAAAUUUUGGACAGGAUGAACAGUUCCCAACUGAAAAGAGAUUGUUUUCAGACUACAAGUCAGUCGAUAAAUUACCACAUAAUGGUUUCAGAAGGCUAGGUACAAUUGGGGGUGUUACCUCCACUAGGGAAGCACUUGGGGUUCAGAUUUCAAAUGGUCGACUAAAGCGUGUCAAGUCACAGUUAUACUACUCAGCUGGAAGAAGUGAAUAUUUUGGAAAAAGCCACGACACAGAAAGGGCAACAAAUGUACACAAGCCUAAGAAUGCUGAUAAUAGUGCUAAAACUAUUCAAGAAACAGAGAACAAAGAAUCUGUAGAUGGAAGUUCCAAUGCUUAUGGUCAAAGUGUUGCAGAAAAUCAAAUGAAAGUGCUGAGAAAUGAAUCUCAUGAUUAUGGAGCUGAAUCAUAUUCCAGAAUUCAGAUGCUGGAGGAAGAGUUACGGGAAGCUGCAACUCUCGAGAUUGGCCUUUACUCUGUGGUUGCUGAGCAUGGGAGUUCUGUUAGCAAGGUUCAUGCCCCGGCUCGCCGCCUUUCUAGAUUCUAUCUUCAUGCAUGCAAAGAAAAAUCCCGAGCUAAACAGGCAAGUGCUGCAAGAGCAGCUAUCUCAGGUUUAGUUUUGGUCUCCAAAGCUUGCGGAAACGAUGUUCCAAGGUACAUAUUAGUCCCAUAGCUAUUUUGUAUCAGUGAAGCACAUUACUUUAGUCAGUAUUGAAAAAUAGGAAAGCCAGGACUUGGUGAAUGGAAGCAUCAGUAAAAUAGGAAAGGAAAAAAGAACAAAAAAAUGCUGGUGACUAGGAAGAAAAGGUGCACUUUUCUAAGGUUAUUGUUACAAGGAAUUGUAGAACUUUUAAUUUGAGUACUGCUUCAGAAAAUUUAUAUGUGUCAAAGGCAAUUGCAUAUUAAAACUCACACUGGUACAUCUGUACCUCCUAUGCAGGCUGACUUUCUGGUUGUCGAAUGCAAUCAUGUUGAGAGUUAUUGUCAUCCAAACUGCUGCAGAAAUAUCAAAUUUAGAGGCGAAGCAUGCAGGAAAAAGUGAUCGCUCUGUCUCUCACUUGGAUUCAUGCUUCCCAAAGAGACAAGAUAGCUUCUCCUAUGUUGAGGAAAGAAAUAGCGAUUCAGUUGAAGAAUCUGAUGACUGGGAGGACAUAGAAACAUUUAUUUUUGCAUUGGAGAAGGCUGAAUCUUGGGUUUUUUCUCGAAUUGUUGAGUCUAUCUGGUGGCAGGUUAGAUUCCUAAUUUUUUCUUGCGCUGCAUUUAAUCUUGUUUUUAAUCAAUCAAAACUGUCUUCUAAAUCAGCAGUGUGCUUAUUUUGCCCAUGCAGACUAUAACUCCACACAUGCAGCCGACAGUUGCAAAAACAGGUGGUAGAACUAGGGGCUUAGGUACAAAGAAGAAUAAUGCAAGUGGAUAUGGUUUGGGUGAUCAAGUGCAGGGUAACUUCUCUAUAGAACUUUGGAAGAAGGCUUUCAAAGAUGCCUGUGAAAGGCUUUGCCCAAUUCGGGCAGGAGGACAUGAAUGUGGCUGUUUGCCUGUCAUGCCAAGAUUGGUACGCUUUUACAUUGGAAUAUAGCAAUUAAUGUGCAUUCAAUAGUCACUGACAACUCCUGCUGGAGACAAAUAUUUCUAGUUUUAGUUGAUCUACCUGUCAUGGCAUGUAAACAUACUUUUAAGUGUGUUGGUUACGGAGUAUUAUGAUUCAAUACAGAUCAUCAAAUAAAUAGAGAAGUGGGUUGUCAGUAAUAUACGUGAUCAUAUAGAGUUAUAUUAAUGUCUUCCAGCACUCUACGAUUAGUACCAUGCAUUCUCUGAGUACUGCAUUUUCAUUGCUUGAUUUACUGGAAAUAUUUUAUCCUGGAAUACGUGGAUGGUUUUACUAGGAUAUGGUUGUAAUUGACCAGAUCAUCAUUUUAAUGUUUAUUCUGUGUAUUCUAGGUAAUGGAGCAGUUAGUGAGUCGAUUGGAUGUGGCAAUGUUCAAUGCUAUCCUUCGUGAAUCAGCGGAAGAAAUGCCUUCAGAUCCUGUGUCUGACCCCAUUAGUGAUUCUAGGGUUCUCCCAAUUCCAGCUGGAAAAUUGAGUUUUGGAGCGGGUGUACAACUGAAAAAUGCUGUUAGUAGUGAAGCAGCUCUUCAAAAGUUUUACCUAAAACUUCUGUGCAAGAUGUUUGCAUUACUUAAUGCUUAUUUUUGCAAUAUUUUCUUCUUUUGCGCAGCAUUUUGACUUUCAAGUGAAAAUGAUGGGCGACUUUGCUUCCUUUCAAAAUUCCAACUCUGAACAUUAGAUGUGCAACAAAAGAAUCUGAUUAGCAAUGAUUCAUCGAAUCUAAGAACAGAGCCUCUUUUUCUAACAUGUAGCUUCUAGAAUUAUCUGCCAACCACUUUAAGUCGAAGUUUCAAUCAAAUGAAGUAUUUGUUUUAGAUGUUAAUUAAAUCUGUUAUUUUGUUAGUUCUGUUGGAGCGUGCUUGAAGAACACUGCUUUGUAGUUGGCCUAUAUAAUAUCAAUUGUUUUAGUCAUUAGUUGGGAUAGCAGGAUUCUUUAUGUUAUUUAUUAUUAUUUUUUUUGGGCUGGUGUUUGUAGAUUGGUAACUGGUCUAGGUGGCUCUCAGAUCUCUUUGGCAUUGAAGAUAGUGAAUCACUUGACGACAGUGAUACUGCUGGUGAUGACAAGGGAUCUGAAUCCUUCAAGGCUUUUCGUUUCCUCAAUGCUUUGAGUGAUCUCAUGAUGCUUCCUUUGGAGAUGCUUAUGGAUAUACCAACAAGAAAAGAGGUGAAUGGCUGCUACAGCAAAUUGGUUUGAAAAAUUCUAGUUUCCACGUGGCUUUAUUCAAUUUUCCAGAUUUUGCUUCUUUUAGGUUUGCCCACUACUUGGUCCAACAAUGAUCAAGAAGGUGCUUAGUAAUUUUGUUCCAGAUGAGUUCUGCCCAAACCCAAUUCCACAAAGUGUUAUUCAUGCACUGGAUCAUGAGGUUGGUUAUCAAUUUUAGCAGUCAUUUGGAAAUUAUGUGCCAUCUCUUCUCUUGACAGCUGGUUGAAUAAUGCAGAGCUAGUUCAAGAUGGAUUUAAAAUCCUAGAAAGAGUUAAUAGAAUAGUAUCAUGCAUGGGGUACCGGCUUUAUUUUGCUGAUAUAUUUGCAUGUUGAUCCAGGAUGCUUCGGGUGUUUCUACAGAAUCAAUCACAAGUCACCCAUGCACUGCCCCUCCUACAAUCUAUUCACCUCCUCCGGCACCUUCACUGCUACGUUCUAUUAAAGAGGUUGGAAACAAUAAUAUACAAAGAAGCGGGUCAUCAUUACUCAAAAAAUCGUACACAAGUGAUGAUGAGCUUGAUGAAAUCAGGCACUUCAGACCGGAGCUCGAGAGGAGGAUCAGAGAACGGGCAGAGAGGGAGCUACAACAGGCUGCUGCUGCUUGAUACUUCUGUGCAGGUUGGUUCUGAUUUUCUUUUCCUUCCUUUUCUCUUUUCAGGUUUUUGGGAGGUAUUGGGAUUGAUUACAUUAGUAAGUUUAACUUUUUUUCCUUGUUGAUGUCAUAUUCGGAAGUGAUGCACAAUUGGUUGAGGAUCUCAUUUCUGGUUUUAGGCAACCUUACCAUCAUGUGGGUUCUUUUUGGUUUGGUUUCUUUUGUCUGUUAGGAUCAGUAUAGUAUUAACUAGUUAGAAGACUUGGGGAUUAAUGUGGAGUACUGGUUUAUUCUAGAGUAAGCACAGGUACUCCAGAAAACAAACUAAAGAUCUAAUCUGAUUUUGAGUAGCACCAAGGCAUUGCAUUUUGGUGCACUGCUUCCUCUUGCCUGUUUUUCUAAUUUGACUGGGCUGUCUCUACCUCUUUAUGUUCUUUUUGCUCUGCGUUUAGCUUGCUUUUCUUUUGUACGAGGAAUUGACAGUUUAGUGCAUUCAAUUUCUCUCCGCCUUUUGCGUACAGCUUUUGAUGUGGAAGUCAUUCUUGGUUUUUUAUGUGCAGGUGAGGACUUAUCCUGCUAGGGGGCUAUGUAAUAAACAAUUUGAGACUUUUGAAGAAUACAUGGACAUGCAAGCCAGUCUGCUGUCUGUCCAGCAGAGCAGCAAGUCUAAUUUUUAUGCUUGUAUCAGACUGAAUUGCUCCCUACUUUUAUGUUUUUUUUUUUAAGAGCUUACUGGAUACAAGUUGGGUUCUAAGAUCAUUUUAUCAUGGUUUUGAAGAUUCAGAAACCUGAUAGUAUAUGGUUUUUGUCAAUAAACUAAACAUUAAUGUUUGAAUGUUUUCAGAGACUGUAUUGGUGGGAAAGUUAAAGGAGAGUUGAAGGUUUUGACUCAUAUCAUGAUGAUAUACAUCUUAGUUGUUUUUGUACGUUAACUCUCUUAUGUUGCACUGUUUGCCGAAACAUCUAAUACGGAAACCCGGGAUUCCUUUCGCUGUUUGCGAGAGAAGAGUGAUCUGUUAGGCUGUUUCAUCUGGAAUUCCCAGACUCAGACACCUCUUACUUUCCUAGGGUAUCAGUAAAGUUUUUUGCUGUGUAAUUUUCGUUAUAUAAACUGCGGGAUAACGGAUUUUCCCCUGAGAGUCAUCCAAGUUCCAACUGUGCAAAAGACGAUGUAUUGUGAUUUUUUUAUUAAUUGUUACUCCAGUCCAUGCUGAUUUUCUUUUUUAAUCUGUCCAUUUCCUGAGCAGAGGAGGACUAAAGAGGUAUUCUCUCUUGCCCCAGUGGUAGCUUCUCAGUAUCUCGUGUCUCGCUCACAGAAAAUGGAUCCAACCCUGACUUUCAAGUCAACAUCCGGAUCAGGCAUGUUGACUUCCUCAUGUUGGAGGAGCUAUAAGACAGUGAUCGUGCUUUGUGCCUCAUUUUAGAUUAAUUUUAUGCUUAAGGACGUUAAUUAGAGCCAUUGGUCAAACCUCUCCAAAUUUAUAAAAAAAAUUUGGGAGAGAGAAUAAAAAUAUGUAGUCAUGCAUCGCUAAAAUGUCGGAGUGACUGGCGGCAACGAUGUAUCAGCAGCACUUAUAACAGUACAGUAUGUGAGGAUAUUUUUACUUGGGAUCCUCGGUGACAUGUUUUCUAUGCCAACUCAAUGCCAUCAAUAGUGUUGCGCCAAGUGUCUUGUUAUUAAUUAUAUUUUAAUUUUUUAAUAAUUCAACUUGGCUUGAUUUAACACAAAUAUAAAUAAUAACAAGACACUUGGUGCAAUACUAUUGGUGAUAUUGAAUUGACAUAGAAAACAUGUCACCGAGAUUCCAGGUGGGAUAUUUUUUUGUUUGUUGGUUGACUUACUCUGCACAAACAUGGAAUUAGUUAUUCCGGCCUCAUUUUUUCCUUUUAUAUACCUCUAGAUAAUUCAAUUUAAAAGAUUUUUCCAUAAAAUUAAAAUGGGUAAUUAUCCUUUCUUUUGUACCUUUAUAGAAUUGAAUUUAAAAGAUUUGGGUUCAAAGAAAUACCGGCAUUCGAGAAAACGUUAUGAAUAACCAUUUUUCAUUUCACUCAAAACCACCUCAAAUGCUUAUUGUUUCAACUCAAUGAAAGAUAUAGGAUAAACUAAUUUAUUAAACAAAUUGAAAUUGAUCCAAGAUGGCAUUAUUGUAAUAUACUGCCUACAAAAAAGGAGGAAGAAAGUAGUAAAUGCUUAUUGUUUAGUGUCCAAAUCCAAAAUGCACAAGGCAGAUGUGAUCGUGAUGACCAAUCACCACAUUUAAUUCAAGGGUUAAUAUAACAGUUUUCUAUUUUUUUUUUCUUUUAGCGCCAAAAAAAAAAAGAAAAAGAAAAAAGAGAGAGAGGAAGACAUGCCAUGGACGAAGAAAAGAAAGCUGUAUCAAGAAGGAACAGAAGAAGGCGGGAGGACAGGAAAAGGAGAGAGAAAGAAAGGAUGAAUGAAUCAAAAGAAACAGAUGGAAAGUAAAGUCGGAAACCAAUCCCCGGAAUGUAAAGAAUUCCUUUUACAACGUAACACGUAAAGUGGAAUUUUUUUUUUUUUUUUUUGUUUUAGCAAAGUAAAGUGGAUAUUACUGCUGUACUUUUCUUUUCUCCUCUGAGAUAUAUAUAUUUAUAAUGGGGAAAAAAAAUCAAAGCAAAUCAAAGCAAAAAAAAUCAAGAAGCUCGAGUCACCGUCGGAGAAAGGAGUGGACUUUUAUGCUCGAACUACGCUACGCUCAGCAUAAUUACCCAACUUAAUAGCAAAUUGGCAUUAGCACCUUCUUCUUCUACUACUUUGGGGGGGACUUCUGCAUAUACAAUUUUUUCUUUCAACUUUUUCCUCCAAAUUUUCUCACCUUUGCUCUCCAGAUACAAACAAAAAACUAUCACGAGCUUAAAAAGUUGGAGAAAUUCUGGACUAAACGAACAAUGGAUUACCAUCAUUAACGCAAACAAAGUAAAAUUUACUCGGGCUUCUCAGUCUCCAUAGCCUGUCUACCAAAGGUAAGUGUACCCCUUACUUCCACCCUCUUUUCUUUUAUCGUGCUACUUCAUUUUGGGAUUUAAAAGGGCUGCAUUGUCUGAUUAUUUAUUGAGUUUUGAUGUUUAGGUUUCUGACUGCUGGAAUGGUACUAUUAUGAAUCCCUUAUUUCUUUCUUUCUUGGUGUUUUUUUCCCUGUAACUUGAUAAAAAUCCUGUCUUUAAAUGGUUAUCUGUUCUUACAACAAUUGAGUAAGCUGUAAAUAUAUACAGGAAUAUUAAUCUCAGGAAAUAAGUUCAAUCGAGCUGAAAUGGUUGUAGUUUUUCCCCUGCUUUACUUCUCCUUUGCUCAUUUAUUCAAUUAAACAGAUUACGUUAUGUAUCAUUAAAUGUUGUUUGAUAAAGCGCAUUAACAAGGGAAAAAAAAAUGCUGAACCUUUUAAAUUUUUGUAUUUCGUGGUAAUUCUUUUUUAUUGACUUUUUAAUUGAUUUAUUGCUGCUUGUGGUUAGAACUCUAGCUGAUUACAAGCUUGGCGAAGAGCAUUCAUCUGUGUGAGAUCAUUCAGGUAUGGUGCUCGGUUUGAGGUCAAAGAAAAAAAGGGGUGCUUCGGUUCAAAUUGAUUACCUUAUCAAUGUAGUGGAGAUUAAGCCUUGGCCCCCAUCUCAGUCUUUGAGAUCGGUUCAGUCCGUAUUGCUUCAGUGGCAAAAUGGUGAUCAAAAUUCUGGUUCUUUCCUAACUGUUGCUGGGGAUGCGAACAUUGCGUUCAACGAGUCCUUCACACUUCCUGUAACUUUACAUCCAGAUAAAAAGGCCCGCGAUAGAUUUCAGAAGAAUUACUUGGAGUUCUCAUUGUAUGAGCCUCGUAAAGAAAAAGCCACUAAAGAGCAAUUGUUAGGGACAGCUAUAAUAAAUCUAUCAGAGUUUGGAGUAAUCGAAGACAUUUUGCCCAUUAUUGCUCCACUGAACUUCAAGAAGACUUCCAAAAGCUCACCGCAGCCAGCUCUUUAUUUUCAAGUAGAGCCCCUAGAUAAGGGCAGUUCGAAGUCCUCACCCAACGUGAGAUCCUCCAGAACAUCAUUGGACCAGGAUGGCCAAGAAGCCCAUGCUGAAUUCAAUGGUGACGACUCUGAGAUAGCUUCUUUCACCGAUGAUGAUGUUUCUUCUCAUUCGUCUCAGACAGUUGCCUCUUCUGUGUUUGAUGCUGCAAGGGCUUCACCAUCUCAGAGUGAUAAGGUAGCUGAUUCCACUCACUAAUCUUUGUGAUCUCUGUCUCAUGAUUAUAGCUUUUUCCUUAAUUAGUACCUUGAUUGACAAUCGUUUUGCCUUGGCUGAAUCUUCAUUCUGUAUUGCUCAAACUGGGUGUAUUGUCCCUAUUCUAAAACGGUGACAUAAUUCCUUCUUAAACUGAAUGACAUUCUCUGUGUGUGUGUUUCCCCACACGUGCGUGGAUGUGGUUGUCAGUGCAUGUGAGCACACAUUUUAGCUGACAUUUACAAAUCUACAGAAUGGAUUGGAGGCUGUCAAUGAAAUUACAGGAAUGGAUAAUCAACACUCAAAUGGAAGAUUGCCACCAUCUUCAUCCAUUAGCUUAUCAUUAAAUACAGGACACCCAGUAAACAACCAUACCUCGAAGUCCAAAGUCCCUGGGAGAAGCAAGACAUCAUUGCAGAAGAAUUCGUAUAACCCCUCAAUUGAAUCUUCUUCCUCAUUUGAUGGCUAUUACAAUAUGUAUGGGGGAUCUAGCAACUACAUAGAGUGCCUUGAGCAGGAAACUGUGACCCAUGGUGUUAGCAAAGAGGGAAAGAAUGAAGGAAACAAUCCAGAAUAUAAAAAUGAGCCAGUUGAUAGAUUAACUCAGCCCAUACAUGAUGAAAAUGACAUUGAAAAACAUGCUCCCAUUUUUAAGGGCAUGGAUGUUGCUCAGUUGGAAGUGAAUGGGGAGAAGCAAGAAAAAAAUUUUGGACAGGAUGAACAGUUCCCAACUGAAAAGAGAUUGUUUUCAGACUACAAGUCAGUCGAUAAAUUACCACAUAAUGGUUUCAGAAGGCUAGGUACAAUUGGGGGUGUUACCUCCACUAGGGAAGCACUUGGGGUUCAGAUUUCAAAUGGUCGACUAAAGCGUGUCAAGUCACAGUUAUACUACUCAGCUGGAAGAAGUGAAUAUUUUGGAAAAAGCCACGACACAGAAAGGGCAACAAAUGUACACAAGCCUAAGAAUGCUGAUAAUAGUGCUAAAACUAUUCAAGAAACAGAGAACAAAGAAUCUGUAGAUGGAAGUUCCAAUGCUUAUGGUCAAAGUGUUGCAGAAAAUCAAAUGAAAGUGCUGAGAAAUGAAUCUCAUGAUUAUGGAGCUGAAUCAUAUUCCAGAAUUCAGAUGCUGGAGGAAGAGUUACGGGAAGCUGCAACUCUCGAGAUUGGCCUUUACUCUGUGGUUGCUGAGCAUGGGAGUUCUGUUAGCAAGGUUCAUGCCCCGGCUCGCCGCCUUUCUAGAUUCUAUCUUCAUGCAUGCAAAGAAAAAUCCCGAGCUAAACAGGCAAGUGCUGCAAGAGCAGCUAUCUCAGGUUUAGUUUUGGUCUCCAAAGCUUGCGGAAACGAUGUUCCAAGGUACAUAUUAGUCCCAUAGCUAUUUUGUAUCAGUGAAGCACAUUACUUUAGUCAGUAUUGAAAAAUAGGAAAGCCAGGACUUGGUGAAUGGAAGCAUCAGUAAAAUAGGAAAGGAAAAAAGAACAAAAAAAUGCUGGUGACUAGGAAGAAAAGGUGCACUUUUCUAAGGUUAUUGUUACAAGGAAUUGUAGAACUUUUAAUUUGAGUACUGCUUCAGAAAAUUUAUAUGUGUCAAAGGCAAUUGCAUAUUAAAACUCACACUGGUACAUCUGUACCUCCUAUGCAGGCUGACUUUCUGGUUGUCGAAUGCAAUCAUGUUGAGAGUUAUUGUCAUCCAAACUGCUGCAGAAAUAUCAAAUUUAGAGGCGAAGCAUGCAGGAAAAAGUGAUCGCUCUGUCUCUCACUUGGAUUCAUGCUUCCCAAAGAGACAAGAUAGCUUCUCCUAUGUUGAGGAAAGAAAUAGCGAUUCAGUUGAAGAAUCUGAUGACUGGGAGGACAUAGAAACAUUUAUUUUUGCAUUGGAGAAGGCUGAAUCUUGGGUUUUUUCUCGAAUUGUUGAGUCUAUCUGGUGGCAGGUUAGAUUCCUAAUUUUUUCUUGCGCUGCAUUUAAUCUUGUUUUUAAUCAAUCAAAACUGUCUUCUAAAUCAGCAGUGUGCUUAUUUUGCCCAUGCAGACUAUAACUCCACACAUGCAGCCGACAGUUGCAAAAACAGGUGGUAGAACUAGGGGCUUAGGUACAAAGAAGAAUAAUGCAAGUGGAUAUGGUUUGGGUGAUCAAGUGCAGGGUAACUUCUCUAUAGAACUUUGGAAGAAGGCUUUCAAAGAUGCCUGUGAAAGGCUUUGCCCAAUUCGGGCAGGAGGACAUGAAUGUGGCUGUUUGCCUGUCAUGCCAAGAUUGGUACGCUUUUACAUUGGAAUAUAGCAAUUAAUGUGCAUUCAAUAGUCACUGACAACUCCUGCUGGAGACAAAUAUUUCUAGUUUUAGUUGAUCUACCUGUCAUGGCAUGUAAACAUACUUUUAAGUGUGUUGGUUACGGAGUAUUAUGAUUCAAUACAGAUCAUCAAAUAAAUAGAGAAGUGGGUUGUCAGUAAUAUACGUGAUCAUAUAGAGUUAUAUUAAUGUCUUCCAGCACUCUACGAUUAGUACCAUGCAUUCUCUGAGUACUGCAUUUUCAUUGCUUGAUUUACUGGAAAUAUUUUAUCCUGGAAUACGUGGAUGGUUUUACUAGGAUAUGGUUGUAAUUGACCAGAUCAUCAUUUUAAUGUUUAUUCUGUGUAUUCUAGGUAAUGGAGCAGUUAGUGAGUCGAUUGGAUGUGGCAAUGUUCAAUGCUAUCCUUCGUGAAUCAGCGGAAGAAAUGCCUUCAGAUCCUGUGUCUGACCCCAUUAGUGAUUCUAGGGUUCUCCCAAUUCCAGCUGGAAAAUUGAGUUUUGGAGCGGGUGUACAACUGAAAAAUGCUGUUAGUAGUGAAGCAGCUCUUCAAAAGUUUUACCUAAAACUUCUGUGCAAGAUGUUUGCAUUACUUAAUGCUUAUUUUUGCAAUAUUUUCUUCUUUUGCGCAGCAUUUUGACUUUCAAGUGAAAAUGAUGGGCGACUUUGCUUCCUUUCAAAAUUCCAACUCUGAACAUUAGAUGUGCAACAAAAGAAUCUGAUUAGCAAUGAUUCAUCGAAUCUAAGAACAGAGCCUCUUUUUCUAACAUGUAGCUUCUAGAAUUAUCUGCCAACCACUUUAAGUCGAAGUUUCAAUCAAAUGAAGUAUUUGUUUUAGAUGUUAAUUAAAUCUGUUAUUUUGUUAGUUCUGUUGGAGCGUGCUUGAAGAACACUGCUUUGUAGUUGGCCUAUAUAAUAUCAAUUGUUUUAGUCAUUAGUUGGGAUAGCAGGAUUCUUUAUGUUAUUUAUUAUUAUUUUUUUUGGGCUGGUGUUUGUAGAUUGGUAACUGGUCUAGGUGGCUCUCAGAUCUCUUUGGCAUUGAAGAUAGUGAAUCACUUGACGACAGUGAUACUGCUGGUGAUGACAAGGGAUCUGAAUCCUUCAAGGCUUUUCGUUUCCUCAAUGCUUUGAGUGAUCUCAUGAUGCUUCCUUUGGAGAUGCUUAUGGAUAUACCAACAAGAAAAGAGGUGAAUGGCUGCUACAGCAAAUUGGUUUGAAAAAUUCUAGUUUCCACGUGGCUUUAUUCAAUUUUCCAGAUUUUGCUUCUUUUAGGUUUGCCCACUACUUGGUCCAACAAUGAUCAAGAAGGUGCUUAGUAAUUUUGUUCCAGAUGAGUUCUGCCCAAACCCAAUUCCACAAAGUGUUAUUCAUGCACUGGAUCAUGAGGUUGGUUAUCAAUUUUAGCAGUCAUUUGGAAAUUAUGUGCCAUCUCUUCUCUUGACAGCUGGUUGAAUAAUGCAGAGCUAGUUCAAGAUGGAUUUAAAAUCCUAGAAAGAGUUAAUAGAAUAGUAUCAUGCAUGGGGUACCGGCUUUAUUUUGCUGAUAUAUUUGCAUGUUGAUCCAGGAUGCUUCGGGUGUUUCUACAGAAUCAAUCACAAGUCACCCAUGCACUGCCCCUCCUACAAUCUAUUCACCUCCUCCGGCACCUUCACUGCUACGUUCUAUUAAAGAGGUUGGAAACAAUAAUAUACAAAGAAGCGGGUCAUCAUUACUCAAAAAAUCGUACACAAGUGAUGAUGAGCUUGAUGAACUUGACACACGCUUGACUAGUAUAAUUGCCGAUAGCUUCCAGAGUUCUGCUGCAAGAAAACUCAACUGGAUACCCAGAGGAAACGGCAAAGGAAAGGUCUCCAGGUAUCAGCUACUUCGAGAGUUAUGGAAAGGUUAUGAAGAGUAAAACCACUUGUAAUUUGUAAAGCAUUAUGUAUAUAUAGAGAGAGACACAGAGCGACGAAUUCCGUUGAACUGUGGAGAUGAAACCUGCAGUGACAGGACUCUUGUGCAUUCCUUUUCAUUCAAGUUUGUUUGUAUUUAUUUGGCCCUUUAAGGCAUGCCAAACAGUUUUCUAGAAAUGUUUAUUCAUUAAGGAUCUCUAUGUAAUUAACCGAGGAAGGGCUUCCCUUUCCAAGGAUCUUCACUCGACUCUGAAACGAGCAGUCCAAGUGCGACAGAGACAUCCAAUGGGGUUCCAUGCAUGCUUCCUGAGACAUCACAAAUAGCAAGGGCAUUUUUCAACUUCCCAAUUGUACAAAGAUCACCAACAAUUCUCUUCCAUUGCAACUCCGAAACUUGGUUAUCGUCGCCAUAUUUUAAAGAUUUAAUGAUUUCAUGAGGAAGAAAAGCACCAGCGGCAAUCUUUUGCUUUCCACUCUUGACGCUAUCAAGAUACUCUCCGAACCGUUCCUCGUCAUGUUUAAGGAACAACUCUUCGUAAUUCUGCAUUGCAAUUGAGGGAACUCUGCCCUAAGGAAGCUCAUUCCAUCUGUCGGCUAAAUCUCAGGCAGCUUGAGAGCCUUGCAGAGUGGUACAAGGACUUCCUUUCGUAAUCGAUCCCGAACUCUAUAUGCAGAAUGAGCAUCUUCAAUUCCGUCAUAUUCAGGCAAGUCUGGAGGAAAUAUUCUCCUUGAGCGUGGACCGAUCACAUUCAGCAUAGAGAGAGGGACGCCAUUUUGCUGCAAAGCUUAUAUUCCUGAGCUUUCCCAUCUUCACAUUCUCCAUAUCAUUCUUCAAGGCCUCAGCAAAAAGAUGUGCGACCUGAUUGUGUAAGAACCUGAAAACUGGAUCGCUGUUGUACCUCUCUACACACUUCUUGCCUGAAGCAAUCCUCUGUUCCUCGGUUGCGAUUCUGGGCAGCAGCAUUAAUUUCUUGCACCAUUCUUCUCCGCCGUACAGCUUCCUUUUUGCUAUCUCCCUCUUACCUUUUCCUGGAGGUCAGGACCUUUGAGGAGUCUAUGCAGAAUCUCUGGCAAAUCCUUGAAGUACCCGAAUUAUGCUAUUGCGGGAGCAUUGCAAGCCAAAGUCUUGGGAUGUUUCUGAUGAAGCCACAGAGCUGAUGAAUAAAACCCCUCCCUAUCACAUUUCCCUGAUAUGUCAUACAGCCACAGAGCUGAUGAAUAAAGUCGUGGGAUGCAUGUUUUGACGAGGAUCUGAUAUAAUCAUAUAGCCUAUACGGCUAUAUACGCUCCAUAACCUUAAAAAAAAAAAAAAGAACAGAGAGAGCUCUACAUAUCAUAUGCCUUCUGUUCAAGUUUUAAUGUUGAAGCAACCUUUGAUUUCUACCGGAUUAAUGGGACCAAUAGAAGUCGUUCGCUGUACACAAGAUACAGGAUCUGAAGGGCCUAUACAGCGGUUUACGUGGAAAAAGUAAAAGCAACCAUUUUUCUUGUAACAAAACAACACGUAAAGUCAACAGAGUUCACAAUUCAGUACUUCGAGCAUAUAUGAAUUAGUACUUCCAUAGAAGCGAUAUUCGAUCAUACUAAGGUUGUGUUUGGAUUGCAUUUUUCAUGAAAAAAUUACUGUAACGAUUCGAUGUAUGUGAGGAAAAAAGGUAACAGGGAAAUGUGAUCACGGAAAAUGACGUAAUUUUUUGACGGAAAACAGCAAUCCAAACAAGGCCUAGUGAAGAAAGGCGCAACGGUCGAUUGUUCUUCUGGGAAGUUACUUUGCUCCAGAACCUACUACUGGCAACCCUAACACAAUAAUAGAUGGCUGGAUUCAUUAUUGUCACUGUCUUGAAAUGCGUCGGUAUUAUGUUGAGGGUGUUGGAUAAAUAGCUACAACAAUGUUAACACUAUCUGCUUGAGUCGUGCGUAGCACUGUCCUAAGAAACUAUUUCAUGAAAUUGAAAUGUUUCCCCAGGAUUAAACAAGCCUUCUUCUAAUUGUUGCUAACAAGAAAAACAAGAUUUCUUCUUAUUGCAAACUAGAAGGACCAGAACUAGCAAAUUAAAACCAGCAGAUAUAUAUAAAAGACAAGAAGAUGAGAACAGAAUUAUCAAUAGGAUAUCAACUAACAAAAAAUAAAAGAGAGAAAGAGAGAGAGAGAGAGAGCAGCUAUCAAAAGAUAUCAACUGAAGCUGUUGGGGUAAUUUUCUGAGGGAGAAGUGGAUCCUAUUUAUAGACUUCAGAGUGAGGUGCAACCCUUCUCACUUCCGAUGUGGGACAAAGACUGCAACCCUUCUCACUUGACAAUGUGGGACAGAGAAAUAAUACUUCUCAUUUUUCCGAUGUGGGACAAAGAAUAUUUUUGAAAUACUAUAUAUUUUACAACAAUCUCCCACCUAUUUCAAAAAAAAUUCUUUGGAUAAAGGAAGAAUUUUAAAAGUACUCUGCUGGAUUUGGUUGAAAUGUAAUUAGAUUGGUGUCUUUUGGACUAUAAACCAAACAUAGAUUGAUAAAACAUGAUCUACAGAAUUAUUGGUGAAAUAUAAAUUUCUAUGAACCAAUAACUCUUGAUGUAUGACAGAGAUUUUAUCAAUCACAUUACAACCCAUAAUUUGCUGUUAACGCGAUUUUGCGCUUUUUUUGGCCGUGCGCCUGCCUGGUUAUUCAUGAGAGCUCUAAAGAUUUGACCAAUGAAUCUUAUAGGAGCGACCCCACUACACUCUCAUAUAGGUGAAUUCAUCAAGUGUGUAUUGCUUUAACUACACCUCCCUAAUAGGAUAUGAAUUCAUUAAGAGUUUUAACUCAUCCUCACAAUUACUCAAAGCACUUAUCUCUGGAGGGACUUAAAUUGAAGUGCUUUACCAUCAAUAUUGACUUGUUAUUACCCAUAUGAACCUACUUCAUGGGAUCACCAAUCACAUAGGUUGGGUUACCGUCUCUAUUGACAACUUGUUGGUCGAAGUCCCAUUUCUUUUGUAGUUUGAAGAAUCAAUUUUCUUCCUACGGGUUUAGUCAAAGGAUCGGCCAAAUUCAACUCUGACUUUACAUAAUCAAUGGAAAUAAUUCCAUCUCUAAGCAGCUGCUUUACGACAUCAUGUCUCAAUCUCAUGUGUCGACUUUUACAAUUAUACGAUUUAUUUUUAGCUAUGGCAAUCGCUGCUUGACAGUCACAAUGUAUGGACACAGGAGGCAACAAAUCCUUAGUUGAAGGAAUAUUAGCUAAGAAAUUUCUCAACCACUCGGCCUCAGUCCCUGUCAGUUCCAGAGCUACAAACUCUGACUCCAUUGUUGAUCUAGCAAUGAUUGUCUGUCUAGCAGAUUUCCAUGCUAUUGCACCACCACCAAGGGUGUACACAUAACCACUAGUGGAUUUCGUAUCAUUUGAAUCAGAGAUCCAAUUAGCAUCACUGUAACCUUCUAAUACAGUGGGAAAUCCACUAUACAGGAUACCAAAAUUCAUGGUACCUCUCAAAUAUUUCAUUAGUCUGACUAAUGCAAACCAAUGCUCACGGUUGGGAUUAUGAGUAUAUCUACUCAGUCGACAUACAGCAUAAGCUAUAUCAGGUCUAGUAAAAUUCAUCAGAUGCAUCAGACUCCCAAUAAUCUGAGCAUAUUUAGACUGAGCAAUUGGGCCACCAUUAUUUUUCUUUAAUUGAGUGUUAGCAUCAUAAGGAGUACUCACAGGUGUCACAUCAUAAUUUUCAAACUUCCUAAGAAGUCUUUCUGUAUAAUGUUCUUGUGACAACAUUAUACCAUCACCUUUCCUUAUGAUUUUAACACCCAAUAUUAUUUUGGCUUCACCCAAAUCUUUCAUAUCAAAAUUAGAAGACAAAAAAUAUUUAGUACUAUUUACAAUAUCUAGACUAGUACCAAAUAUAAGCAUGUCAUCCACAUAUAAACUGAUUAUCACAUAUUGAUCAUUUAUAUUUUUGACAUAUACACAUUUAUCCACUUCUACAGACGAAAAUCCAUCUUUCAUCCAUACUUGAUCAAAUUUCUCAUGCCACUGUUUAGGAGCUUGUUUUAGGCCAUAAAGAGAUUUAAUUAGUUUACAAACCUUAUUUUCUUGUCCAGAUACAAUACAUCCCUCAGGUUGAAACAUAUAAAUUUCUUCUUCUAAGUCACCAUUUAAAAAGGCUGUUUUGACAUCCAUUUGAUGAAUAACAAGUUUAUGGAUAGAAGCUAAAGCAAAUAAAACUCGAAUAGACGCAAUUCUAGUUACUGGUGCAAAUGUAUCAAAAUAGUCAAUAUUUUGUUUUUGAGAAAAUCCUUUUGCUACUAAACGAGCUUUGUACUUUUCUAUAGAGCCAUCAGAGUUAUAUUUUCUUUUAAAAAUCCAUUUGCAACCAAUAGGUUUUGCACCAGGAGGUAAGUCUACCAAAAUCCAAGUUUUAUUUGACAAGAUAGAAUCAAUUUCAGAUUUAAUUGCUUCUUUCCAAAAUUUACACUCAGGAGAAGAAAUAGCAUCGGAGUAUGUUAAAGGAUCAUUAUCAACAAGAAAGGUUUGGAAAUCUUUUCCAAAUGAAAAUUCUUUUCUUGGCCUUUUGCUCCUUCUUAAUUCCUCAAUUGGAAUAAUUUCCUUAUUUAUUUCAACAGGUGCAUGAGAAAUUUUACUAGACAGUGGAAAAAUAUGUUCAAAAAAUUCUGCAUUCUUUGUCUCAAUAAUUGUAUUACAAUCAAGUAUAUCACUUCUUAACACAAGAAAUCUAUAUGCAGCACUAUGUUCAGCAUAUCCAAUAAACAUACAAUCAGAAGUUUUAGAACCUAUUUUCCUUUUCUUAGGUUCAGGCAACAAGACUUUAGCAAGACACCCCCAAACUUUUAAAUAUUUCAAAUUUGGUUUAUAAUUUUUCCAUAACUCAUAAGGUGUUUUGCCAGUCUUUUUAUGUGGGAUUCUAUUUUGUAAGUGACAUGCAGAUAAUAUAGCUUCUCCCCAUAAAUUAUCUGGAGCAUGAGAACUAAUUAACAUAGAGUUCAUCAUUUCUUUUAACGUUCUAUUUUUCCUUUCAGCUACUCCAUUAGAUUCUGGUGAAUAAGGUGGAGUUAUUUCAUGUAUUAUGCCUUCCUGUUCACAAAGGUUAUCUAAAGUUAAAUAUUCUCCACCCCUAUCUGAUCUAAUUCUUUUUAUCCUUUUAUUAAGUUGAUUUUCUACUUCAGACUUAUAGGAUAAAAAGGCAUUAUAAGUAUCAUCUUUAUUUCUAAGUAAAUAAACUUUGGUAUAUCUAGAAUAGUCAUCUAUAAAGGUGACAUAAUACCUUUUCCCACCUCUAGUCAUUGUUUGUUUUAAAUCACCUAAAUCAGUAUGAAUUAAAUUUAAUAACUCAGUUUCUCUAUGGACAGUUAUACAACUUUUCUUUGUUAUUUUAGCUUCUGCACAUAUUUCACAUUUGUCCAUAUUAUCAUUAAUACCAGAAAUUAGGCCACAUGAUUGCAUUUUCUUUAUAUAACCAAUAUUAACAUGUCCUAAUCUAGCAUGCCAUAAAGAAAUGGAAUCAACAAUAUAAGCAGAAGAAGAUGCAUUUUCAUUGAUCACAUUGGAAAUAUUAAGUACAAAAAGUCCCUGAUUACAAUAGCCUUUCCCAACAAACACAUUAUUUCUUGUCAUUAUAAUCUUAUCAGAUUCGAAUGACACUUUCACCCCAACUUUUCCAAGCAAAGCCACAGAAACAAGAUUUGCCCGAAUAUUUGGAACAUGCAGCACAUCAUUAAGAGCCAAAGUAUUUCCUGAAGUGAGUUUCAAUAGUACUUUGCCCUUACCCAGAACUUUAGCAGUUCGUGAGUCUGCAAGGUAGACUACUUUUUCAUCAUCCCCUAUUGAAGUAUAGGAGGAAAACGCUUCUCGAUUUGCACAUAUGUGCCGAGUAGCCCCAGAGUCUACCACCCAUUCUUUAACAUUAGCUGCAAUGUUCACUUGAGAGAUGACUGCAGCAAUUAUUUCAUCUCCUUCGGUUAAAUUAACCUUAGGAGGAUUACCAUUUGCUUUGUCACCUUUAUUGUAUCUAUACAGGGCAGCAUAAUGUUCUGAUUUUCUACAAUAAUGGCAAUUGCCUUUCUUUUUCUUAAAGUUGGGAAUAUUAGGCUUGUAAUUGGGAUUUUUUGGUCUAUUAUACUGGGACUUAUUGGCUUGCACAUAGCUACAAUACACAUCAAAUAAUUCAUUUAAAAGUGUUUGUAAAAUAGUAUUUCGACAUACCUUAUUGGCAUAUUUCCACGACUCUUGUAUCUUGACAUCUAUGGUGGCAGCAGGUUGAGAUUCCGUCAGUGCAUAGGCCACUCCAUGUAUGUCGAGUAGAGAGUAGACACGUUCUUGCCACCUUUUGAAGUUUUCGUCAACAAAAACCUCAAUUCUAGAGACGUCAGGAAAUGGCUUCGCAAAAGGUAGUGUCACUGCAACAGUUGCUGAUGAAGACUGUGGGGUGCUAACAUUGUCAGAUGCCAUAGUUUCUUAGAUUGUUGGAUAAAUGGCUACAACAAUGUUAACACUAUCUGCUUGAGUCGUGCGUAGCACUGUCCUAAGAAACUAUUUCAUGAAAUUGAAAUGUUUCCCCAGGAUUAAACAAGUCUUCUUCUAUUUAUUGCGAACAAGAAAGACAACCUUUCUUCUUGUUGCAAACUAGAAGGACCAGAACUAGCAAAUUAAAACCAGCAGAUAUAUAUAUAAAAAGAAGAUGAGAACAGAAUUAUCAGGAAGGAUAUCAACUAACAAAAAAUAAAAGAGAGAGAGAGAGAGAGAGAGAGCAGCUAUCAAAAGAUAUCAACUGAAGCUGCUGGGGUGAUUUUCUGAGGGAGAAUGGAUCCUAUUUAUAGACUUCAGAGUGAGGUGCAACCCUUCUCACUUCCGAUGUGGGACAAAGACUGCAACCCUUCUCACUUCUCAAUGUGGGACAGAGAAAAUAAUACUUCUCAUUUUUCCGAUGUGGGACAAAGAAUAUUUUUGAAAUACUAUAUAUUUUACAACAGAGGGUGUUAAGAAGGGUUUAUCCUUUCAAAUCAUUCCUUGAUCCGCAAGUUAUCCGUCUUGCAAAAUUACAUACACGUCCUUGAUCACUCAUGAUUUGCUUUGCUGUAAGGGUCAGUCUUGCCAGCAAUUUAAAUUGGAGGGUUUAAAAAGACUUUUUCCAUUCUCAUCUUCACGAGACAAUUAUUCAAGCUAUUGUCCUGCCAACUCCCAAGAACUUGAUCAGCAAGGAAGGUGGAUUUUGAGCCAAUGCAAGUUAGUUUGUUCCACGCGCAAGGCCAUUACAUGAUAACGAAGAAAUUGAGCUUGACUCAACAAAAAAUGCCAUGCACUCGAACCUCCUUUCAGUUUUCACUUCCAUUCAUUCAAAUCUGAUUAAAUUGAAGGAAUAUCAUCCAGUAAACACUGCACAAACGGUUUCUUCAGUUAAACACUUCCAUUCAUUCAGAUUUGAUUAAAUUGAAGGAACAUCACCCAGUAAACACAGCACGAUCACUGGCUAACUGCAGGCUGCAGCUUAGUCCUGCCAUACUACAAGCCAAACAGAAUUUACUUCCGCAUGACUAGUUACUGUCAAUCAUCGAGCAUCUCACCAUCUGUUUUUCCUGCCAAAAAGAGAAGAGGCAAAAUGGUGAGAGCCAAGUAGAGCAACUCCGGAUUACUUUCUUAGCUGUCUAUACAAAACAUGAUCAAGUUCCUCACAAAACCUACGAGUCACGAUGUAUGGAAUGGAUGGUUAAUACAGUAGGCCCUUGAUGAAAAGGCACAACUUUAAUUUAACUUUCAAUAAACUACUACAAAAUACCAAAUUCCAUCCAUGUUGAGGCGCUCAAAAUAUAUCAGCCCUUAAGACAUAGCCUGCCAACUAUCAUACAAUUAAGGUGCAAAAAGCUUACAUGCACACUUAUUUUAUUUUAAUAUCCUAAUUGCUAACCACAUAUGAUUUUCCAUUGUAACUGCUACUUUACUUCUCAGGCUUUUCUUAGAAAAAUGGCUCGGCAUAGCUUAGAUAUGAGAUGAACCGCGUUUUAGCAACUGAGUGUGGUAAGUAUGAUGAAAUUGGAGUGCAACCAACAAAUGAAACUGCUACAAUAAUUUUGAUUGACAAAUCAUGAAUGCCAAAUUUACCAAUUGGAAUAGGAAAUCAUUAGCAUUUGGUGGCUGUUGACGAGGCAUAAAAACACAUUACCAUGCGAUGCACCUUAACAAGAAAAAACAAGUAAUAUAAGCUAGAAAUUCUACCUUUUUAACUGUAGGCCUCCAAACUGGUUCUUUAAUGUGUCAUAAUGCCCAUAACCAUGAUAUAGAACACGCACUGGAUUUUCCUUUCCAUAUUCUUGACCAUACUCGGCUAUUACUUUGAGGGAAUUUGUCUUCUUAUCCAACAUAUGCACUGUGAUAGGAACCCUGAAUCAAAAAUUUAGAUUAGCUUCUCAGGUAUCAAUACCAUGAGCACUACCAACCUUCAACUGGAUAGGCACGUUACAAUGUUUGAAUUCUUUCAUUUAUAGCGUGGGCAUGGAUAGGUUAAAUCAGAGAAAUACGGUAGACCUACUGUAAAACAUGGGAAGACAUUAGUAGCUCAGGCUCUCCUCCCCAACUAUGGGGCCGCCUCAUUUUCAUAACAUACGUGUCAAAAUCACCUUCAACAAACCUGAAAAGCAACAAAUUUCCCUUGAGAACAAACUUUGUUUUUGUACUUGAAAACAUGCUUGAGCUGUGAUAGAUAACAUUAGACCUACUGUAAAACAUGGGAAGACAUUAGUAGCUCAGGCUCUCCUCCCCAACUAUGGGGCAGCCUCAUUUGCAUAACAUACGUGUCAAAAUCACCUUCAACAAACCUGAAAAGCAACAAAUUUCCCUUGAGAACAAACUUUGUUUUUGUACUUGAAAACAUGCUUGAGGUGUGAUAGAUAACACUUCUCAGGACAUCCCGGAUGUGUUCGAGGAUAACAGAGCUCUGGUCAUACUGAGACCCAAGUUGUGCAAGAAUGAAUUGAAAGACAAAUUUUCAAAGGUCCAGGUUAGCACGAACCCCAAAGGUCAAGGUUUGGAAGAAAAAGAAAUGUAUGGACUUGCUAUGGCCUUGAUCAAUACAGCCAGUACUGCCAGAAUGACUCGAAAGAAAAAUCAAACUUCAAACGUGAAGCUGGAUGUUGAACUGAUUAACAUGAUUUCAAAAAGGUCAAUUGUUCAGAAGAUAUGCAUGGACUUGCCACGGACUUCGUCAAAGUGUAGUAAACCAAGCAAAAGAGCAGUAUCCCAAAGGCAUAUACGCAAGUCUUACCACUCUGUAUCUGCUCGUCUUUUGAUAAGUUCAUCUGUCACCUGUAAAAACAGAGUUGCAUAUGUUGGUCAAAAGAACUCAUGAUAACCAAAAGUUUAGUCGGAUCGUUACUAAGUUUUGGUUCUUCUGCAAUACAGAGCUGUUAGCUGGAAGGACACCAUAGGCAGACAGAACUUUUACUUUGAGGGAGCAAAGUAUUGAUCAUGGACAUAACAGAGUGCGACAGAAAUUGUUUGAAAAACUUAUUAGUCAAGGAAAACCUGUGUUUUUGAAAGGAAACUUGUAGAAACUCUUGGAAUGGUCAACCUCGUCAGAUGUUCAAUCGCCUUAACAUUCUCUAUAAUUUAGUUACUCGUGUCACUUAGAACACAGCGAAAAGAAAAAGUAUCAUUGUGCCACAAGUCAACUGUGAAUUAAGUAGUGAUAGACGAAAUGUGGGGUUAACAUUUAAUUCAAACUGGAGCAAAAAAGAAAUGCUGUACAGGUAUUAAGUCGAAUCCCAGCUAGACAAGUAGUAUUAAGUUGAUCCUAAAGCACCAGAGUCCAAGAAUUAGGAAGAGCAGAAGAAAGCUAAUGAUUUACUUUGGCUCUGAGCUCAUCAGCCAGCUCUCUCUCAUCGGCUUCACUUGGAGAUGGCUUUCCUAAUCUCAAACAAUCACCAUGGACCACAGACCUGAACAAGCAUCUCCCAUCUCCAGGUAUCCCUGCAGCAAAGUGGUGCAAAAAGACCAUUUGCCGUGGUUGACAUUAUUAGGGCAGCUUAUGUAACAACAACAUCAAAGCAUAUUGUUGAUCCAAAAUAACAGGACUGCAAGCAAAGACUAUAUUUGCCGUAACGUUUCAAACUGCAUACCAUAUCAUUCAUCAUGCAGGAUGAACGUAACGUUAUUGUAAUGUUUUACAAUUCUAACAUAAUAGGAACGUAAAAAUAUAUGUGAGGAAGAAAUGGAUGAAAACGCAAAGUACUUGUUGCUCAUGAAGAUGAUAUCCCACUUAUUCAAAAGCAAAAAUAGAAUAACCGAAAAAAAAAAAAAAAAAGUGUGACAGCACUCGCACACCUAAACCAAAAGCCAUUACGAUUACCAGAUUUUAUUCGCUCCUCAAACAUCAUAAAGAUGGACCAGCAAAUGAUCUAGUCACUGUAUUUCCCGUUUUCUCUUUUUGAUAACUUGAAUUUUUUUUUAAAACAAAUAAAUAAAUAUAUAGCAACACAACUCAAUUAAGCAAAAGAAAAAUGCUGCAAUGCAAGAAAAGAAUCAUAAAGCCAAGCCAAUGAGUUGAAGCCAAGCAUCCAUGCCAGAGUUAUUAUGACGUAAGAAAUGGUAAAUGCCACAUAAAAAUUUUUUCAAAAAAAAAAAACAGAGAGAGAGAGAGGAACAAAUAAAUAACAAUAAGCAGCAGAUACGAAUGGUGCGGAAGUGGUUACCAAACUUCCAAUCUCGUUUCGGCAUGAGAUCAAAGAUGUUUCCAACUCUUUCUUUUUUUUGGCAAUUUAAAUGGAGUACUGUACGUAGUUCAUGUUUUUAUGGAAUUUACCUUUUUGUAAAUUCGAAAAUACAUUAUUCUGAUUCUGUAGCAGCGAGACGGGGAGAGGCAGACUUUCAUCAGAAGAAGAAGAGAAUCAGAUUCGAUUCAACGCGAGAAGAGCAAGAAUCGACUGAGUGAGGGGGCUGAGUUACAAUAUUGAGGCGCGACUGACUCGGGAAGCGGAGGCACGAUGGGCUCACUGCAUUGUGGGCUUUUGUUUUAGGGCCGCAGAUGUGGGCUUUUAUUCUUAGUACGAAAAUGUACACGUGUUCUAUUGUUUUAUUAGUGUGUCAUGAUUUCGAAUUUUUCAUGAGCGAAAUUUAUUUGGAUUGCACGUUAUUUAUACAUACUGCUGAUUUACUUGUAUGAUCAAUACAUUUUUUAAAUUUCACAUACAUCAUAUAAAAAAUUACUACAAUAUUUUUUUAUAAAAUUAUCUCAAACAAUGAAUCUACUAAAACAAAUUAAUAAGAGCAUUAAUAGUUGUAAUUUCCAUCUCCAAAGCAGGGACCUAAAGCGAAAGGAAGUCACUGUGCUUGUAACUUAAUAGACAUCCGUCCUAUCUUUUGAGAAGAGAGUUAGGGGGGGAAAAUAGAAAAGGUCAAUCUUUCGAAUAAGGAAGAAGAACGUAAUUGUAAUAAAAUUAAGAAAAGAAGCAAAAAAAAAAAAAGAACGCAAGAAAAUUGCUGAAAAAGCUUCUCCUUAGAAAUGCUUGACCUUCUUGUCGCACAAGCUUGGGCAAACCCUUGACCUUGUGGUUCUCUUCUUUUUUUCUAGACUUGGAGAGCUUUGCAAUUUGUAGGAUUAUUAAAUCAAAAGUCUUUUUAGAAUUUAUUUAUUUAGUUAGGAAACUACUUAUUUUGUUGUUUAGUUGUAAUUUCCUAGUAGUAGUUGCAAUAAAAGCCUUCAAAGUUCUUCUCUGUUUUUUUUUUUCCUCUGUUUCUUUGUUUUGUAUGCGGGUCUCGAGAUUUAUUUAGGCUUUGUUUGGAUUGCUUAUUUCCGUCGAAAAAUAUUGGGAGUGUUUGGAUACCUACGCUAUCUCAAAUAAUAUUUUGCUUGCAUCAUAAACACAUUUCCCAACCUAUCUUUUUAUAUUCCCAAUUACCUUUUUAUCUCACAUACAUCACAUCACAAAAAGUGCUACAGUAAUUAUUCCAAAUAAUAUUUCAAAUAAUACACUAUCCAAACAAACUAUUGUCGUUUUCCGUGAUCACAUUUCCCUAUCACCUUUUUCCCUUACAUAUAUCAAAUCGCUACAGUAAUUUUUCCAUGAAAAAUGACGGAAAAUGCAAUCCAAACACAACCUUUGUCUUCCCGUGGUUUCGUUGAAUCGAGAAAGCAUAUUUAUUGUGUUUCAUAUAGAGUAGUUUGAUUAAUAUGUAUGUUUGUUUGUUUGGAUAAGAGGUUAUUUGGAUGAUUUAUUUGAAAUAAUUAUUGUAACAUUUUUUAUGAUGUGAGAUAAAAAAAGACGAUUGAGAUUUAUGAAGUAAAUUAUUUUGUUUCAAAUUAUCUCAAUCCAAACACUCAUUUUAUUAUUAUUUUGUUUUACGGGCCUACACAACUGCAUAUAAAUGGUAUUUUCUUGGUAUUUUCUUUUGUGUCGACCACGCCACUAUAAUAUGUUUUGAUACUCUGAAAUUUCAAAUGGCUUCUGCUGAAAGUUCCACACUCAAAUUUAGACGUAUUAUAAAAGCGCAAGUCUCGAACGCCCCCCGUCCCAAAUGCAGCAGCCUCGUAUACAUAACAAGUUUUCUGCCGCCUAACAGAGCAAAGUUCCAACCAAAAAAAAAAAAAAAAAAACAGUGCAAAGUUUAAAACACGAGAUCGAGAUAUCCUAUCCACCCAUCAUGUUUUCCCUAAACAGUGGCAUUCCUUCAACAACGUCGGUUCUAUCAGCAUACACAACUUUUGCUGCAUCCGCUGUUCUAGUGCGCACCGUGCUCAAUGAAGUCCAGAGCAUGACUAGCCGGCUUAUACCCCAACAACUCCAAGACAAGCUCUUCACCAAAAUUGGAUCCCUUUUUGGGAAUCUCUCUUCCCAGAUGUGUAUAACCAUUUCUGAUCACAAUGGCAUCACCCCGAAUGAGAUGUUCGAGGCUUGUGAAACUUAUUUAAGAGGAAACAUAAGCCCGUCGGUCCACCGGCUCAAGGUAGUGAAGGAGCCAAAAGCAGAGAAAUUGUCCGUCAACAUAAGCGAUGGCGAGACAACUUUUGACGUAUUCGAGGGGAUACAGCUUGUUUGGAGAUUGAAUUGCUCUGAGACUCAGAAGACUGGCACCGACUAUGAUGGCUACUUCUCUUCUGAAAGGGUGGAACGUCGAUCGUUUGAGCUUUUCUUUAACAAGAAGCACAAGGAUAAGGUAUUAGGAUCUUACCUGCCCUACGUGCUUGAAAGAUCGAAAGCCAUCAACGGAGAGAACAAAGUGAUAAAGCUGUACUCGGGUGGAAAUUGGUACGUGGAUGUUAAUCUCCAACAUCCAUCCACGUUUGACACGCUGGCAAUGGAUCCAGAGGUUAAGAAAGAAUUGAUGCAGGACUUGGAUAGAUUUGUGAGGAGGAGGACUUUCUAUAAGAGGGUUGGGAAGGCUUGGAAAAGAGGAUACUUGUUGUAUGGUCCUCCAGGAACCGGCAAGUCCAGCUUGGUUGCUGCCAUGGCGAACUAUCUCAAAUUCCACAUCUAUGACUUGGAGCUUUCCAGUGUGCGAGGCAACAACGACCUUAGAAGUCUACUGGUUUCGACUCAAAACCGAUCAAUCCUUGUCAUUGAGGACAUUGAUUGCAGCAUUGAGAUGCAGAACAGAGAAGCUGGCCAAUCCGGAAGAUGCAGUGGUGAGAUUCAGGUGAUCCUCUAUUUAAAGCUUUAUUUAUUAUUCAAAAGCCUUUCACCUUUACUGAGUCUUCUUCCUCUGCAUGUAGCCAAGAAAUAUCGUGCUAUAUCUUUAGAAAUUAAUUGAUCUUAUUUGGCCUGGCAGCUAACAUUAUCAGGAUUGCUGAAUUUUAUCGAUGGGCUGUGGUCGAGUUGCGGUGAUGAAAGAAUAGUUGUGUUCACAACCAACUACAAAGAAAGGCUGGAUCCUGCACUGUUAAGGCCUGGACGGAUGGACAUGCAUAUUCAUUUGUCAUAUUGCACUCCUGGUGGAUUCAGGAUCUUGGCUUCCAAUUAUCUUGGUUUGAAGGAUCACGACCGGUUUAGUGAAAUUGAAGAGCUCAUAGCAGAAGUGGAGGUAACCGCUGCUGAGAUUGCGGAAGAGCUCAUGAAAAGUGAAGAAAUUGACUUUGUACUUGCGGGACUCGUUGCUUUCCUUGAGAAGAAAAAGAAGGAAAAGGCCAAGUCCAAUAUUGGCAAAGAGGACGAAGUUAAGGGUAACAAGAAAGAGGAGGACGUAAAGUUACCAAGGAGAAGUAGGAGGAAGAGAAGCAGAAAAUCCAGGAUAUGAUGGUUCCAUUUAUUUACAAUCUGUUUAUGUAGCUUGUGUUCUUUUCUUUGUUUUUUUCCCUUCCUUUCUUUCUUUCUUUCUUUCUUUUUCUUCUGCGUCUUUUUCUUUCUUUUGUAUCGUGUGGAUACGAAAGUACUAGUAAUAAAUAUCUUUUGAAGUAGUAUCCGAGUUCACACUAAUUGGCUAUUGGCAUGUUGGUUGUGAAGUAUACCUCAACAUUUAAAUAAACCUAAAUCGGAAAAAGAACUAAAUCUGAAAUUUGUGGUACUUGCAUGCGUCAGUCAUUACUUAGACAGAGACCAUAAUGUCUUGUUUCAAACUUUGAAAUUACUACAAAUAUUCCAUCCAUUUAUAGAAUAUUCUCCUCAUGAAAAUGCCUUUUAAAAGCUCCACCACCUCCUCAAAACAGAAAAAAAAAAAAAAGUGAUGUUAGCACCAGAAAGAUGUAAGCAACAUAAUUGAUCACUGUAAUUAGCCUGAGAUGUACAAGUUUCUCGGAUAUGCUAAAAGCCAGUCAUGAUCUAAGAAAGCAAAACAAAUGACAGCCUCCCAUUUUCCUGGACUCGUUCCUUACAAAGCGAAUAAGACCAAUAAGGUAGAAACUUUGGAAGAUUGACUGGUUCUUUCUCAUCCUUCAUUCAAGAGUUAUUGGAACUGAGAUGGUCAAAUUUGAUCCCUUUAAUUAACACCUUUAACAAUAGCGCUGCGCUCGAUUGAACUAUAUUGACUCAGAACUUCUCAUUUUAUGGUAGCAUGUGCCCUCGUCAUCUGUGGUAGAAAGUAAAUAGAGCUGCUUUUAUUCCCUCAGGAACCAACAAUCGCUGCCAGAACGAUGUUGAGACGUCGUCCAUUACAUACGUUUGUAGCGUCAAUUUUAGCCAUUAUUCACAGUGCCUGCGGUAAAGCACAGGGACUAAAUGGACCUAUGGGAUCAUUGACGACAAAAACAACCAAAUUCAUCAGUUCUACCUUUCCGUUUAUAUAUUCUAUGCAGUAUCAAUGCCUAGCAAUCUUGUCCUUUGCUGAUGAUCACAUUCUAGCCAUUGAAAACAUGGUAGAAAACAUUUUUCCACCAUCAACGCAUUUAUUCAACGGGAUUGACAAGCUUGUUUACAAUGCAGAAUAUUUACCAGGAAGGUUUGACGAUGCCAUGAAUGCAAUCCCUAUAAUUAUGCACCAAGUUCCAUUUCUUGAUUGGGUAGUGAUGCAUCUCAUAUCAUGGCUAAAUUUUCUAAUCUCUACUCUGAUGAAUUGGGGAUCAAAGAAUACACAAGAGAAGGAUAUAAUGAUUGAUAUAGUCUGCAACAAUCCCGGACCUGGGCUAGACAUUUCGAUGGAUAAGGCAGCCUCCCACAAAGAGAAUGAUGAGUUUCCUUCGAUGUCCACAUCUCAUCCUUCACGAGAAAUGGCCAAAGAAUUUGAAAGCGAAAAGGGUUGCGUUCAAAUGCCAAAAAUCGCACAAUGUCAACUCAACGAAGAUACAGAGUCACCUCCAGAACUAUCCAAGGGGUCUUUCUACAAGCCAUUCCAAGAUGAGAUGAGGUGCAGUUACAAGGAAAUGCUUGAAAAGGGAACAAAGGGAAAUGCUGAAACUAAUGAGGACAAUCAUAAUAACUCACAAUUUGAAACUCCUCGAAGCACAAUCAGUGAAGGAGGAGUUGAAAUAGACAGAGAGAAAGACCUACAGGAAAGCAUUGCGGGAUUUGACCUGGAUGAUCCAAUUUUAGAACUAUACGAAGCAAGCUGGCACCUGAAAUAAAUCCAGUAAGUAUCAAAUUCAGGUAUUGCUGCUAUGGCAAUCAGAUAACACACCUGAAAUGAUUUGCGUGGUAGAUACCCGUUUGGCAAACAAGUUUUUGAUCAAGUUUGUCUUCUGCAAGUUUUUUAACAACUUUAGCUACAAUAACCUCAAAAAAUUCCUAGAAGUUUUUAAACUAUGCACUUCAAAAUAUCCAAAAAUUUACACACUUCAAAAAUUUUUCCUAUAACUUUUACAGUAAGCUACAGUUAAAAUUUUAAACAAAUACCCAAAAAAAUCAUUUGCCAAACAGUACCCUAGGAGAAACAUGGUAGUUGCCUAGUUCUGAUCAUUGAUCAGCAGCCGCAGAAUAUAGCAUGAUUACGAGUUCGCAUGCAUUUCUACAGUGCUGAAACUUGUAAUGUUGUUUUUUAUAGUACAUUUUAUGAUAUAUGGACUGUAUGCAGAGUUGCAUUUGUCCUACAAAUCGUUGAUGAAACAAGCUCUUUUUAACAAGCUUUUUUUAUUUACAAUUGAUUAUUCGCCCUGCUUCUGAACACUUUUAACUUCCGCAAACGACAAUCUUGGCAGAAUCUAUGAAGAAAAGCAAACAAAGGUUGGGAGAAAAAUAAACUUCCCAAGCAAAGUGACAAUUGAUACCUUUUUUUUUUUGGAGCAAAAACAAUUGCGUGGUUGAAAUGAAAGGAAAAGAGCUUAUUACAAGUCUUGUGCGAAAGAAGGGGCCAGGAGAAUCCAUGAGGUUGGACAUAGAAGACAACAUAGAAAAUGCUGAGACACAACUUGUAAGUAAGCGUUGCGAUUGACCAAAAAAAUGAUAACGCCCACCGUGGGGCUCGAACCCACGACCACAAGGUUAAGAGCCUUGCGCUCUACCGACUGAGCUAGACGGGCUUGUUACGAGUUAAACACAUGACCAGCUAUUGACGUUUUAAAAUGACAUUUCCAGCAAUAAACCCAGCCCGGCCUGACAAUCGAACCAAUCAAACCAAUGAACCGGCUAUUAGGCCGAGCUGAGUUUCUAAUUAAACUGUUUAAACAUAAGAACCGUUGACUGGUAAAUGACCCAACGAUUCAACCGGAACCUGACCAAAUUUUGUUCACAAACCAGGUUUUGCGGAAAAAUUUUUAGUUAACUUUUAUUAAGACUCAAACUUGGGAACUUAAGCAUAUAACUAGAGCAUAGUUACCACCAGGCCACUUACCAAAUGUUAGUAGAGUAACUUUCUUAUGAUAUAUGAAUAUUUUAUUAAUUCUAUCUUUUUUUUAAUUUCUCUAAAAUAAAUUUAUUUGGAAUCUUUUAAUAAAAACUUAUAACAUUCCAAACUCUAUAAGUUAUAAAAUGGAUUUCAAAAAUAACAUAUUACAUAAUUCAUGUUAAAGGCAAAUAUUGUUUUUAAUAAUUUUUUGCACUUAAAAUUCGUAAAUAAGCUAAAUAAUUAUAUUAAAUACAGAUAAAAUUUUACACUUGAAAUUUGGUAGAUUGCUAAAUAAAUUUAUAUUUUAUUGAUUUUUAUAUAAAUUAAUUAUUCUAUAGUGAAUUAAAUUAAAUGAACAUUUACUAUGACAUUUUUAUUACAAUUUAUAUCAUAUAUUUUAUAUCAAAAUUUAUGAAACAUAAUAUUUAAAUACAUUUAGUGAUUCACUGGUUCAACCACUCAUCCAUUGAUUAAAUCAGUGAUCCGUUAACUCCCCUCCUCUGCUGGGUUCCUUUCCAAGCCGGAUAUAAUAACUAUGCCAGCGAUGCAAGGAGGCAUUGAAGGGUCCAAACAAAGAAAUCGAUCCCUCCCUGCGUCAACUCAUUGAAAGAUGCAACAACUCACUUCCAGCUCAUGCUCAACAAACAACACCACAACGGCGACGUGAAAGAGAAAUCUAAGAAAUAAUGAAGGAAAAUUCACGAGAUCGCCUUCCCUUUGAAUAGCAUGCCAUCUAACUCUUCAAUUGGUCGCGAUGCAAGUUUACACCAUUUACAAACUCCCGUUCUUUAAGUACCAGGAGAUUCACUUUUAAAACUUCAACUAAGGGCUCACUUUUGGGUAGUUGUACGCUAUUCUAUCAGGAAGAUAAAGCAAGCAAAAUUUAGUGGCUAUAGCCUUACAGGAACCUGUACAUAUCUUCUGUGGGAAACAGGAAACUGGAAAACACGAUGCCUAUUGAAUAGGACAGAACUAAUUAAUACAAAGGAGAGAUGCGUGAUUUAAUGUACAAGAUUGUCAGCAAAGGAACUAAGAAGAGUCUCUUAACACUGGUAUACAGAAAAACUCUUGUUCUUCCACCAAAAACUCCAGGCUCUUCCCACUUUUCUUCUGGAAACUGAUUUGCAUAGUGGUUUUGCAUCUUCUGUGGUUACGGGAAUCUCACUACAUUCAGGCUG